CCCCAGUCAAGCUUGCAAAAAUCUAUCAUUUGCCCGAUAAUAAAUGUUGGAAAUGUAAAGAAACUGAAGGUACAUUUUUCCACCUUUGGUGGACGUGCCCAAAGAUUAAGGCUUUCUGGGAGAUGAUAUAUAAUGAAUUAAAAAAGGUAUUUAAAUAUACCUUCUUGAAGAAACCAGAGGCCUUUCUCCUGCGCAUAGUCGGCCAAUCGGUGUUAAAAAAGGACAGAACUUUCUUUAGGUAUGCUACAACAGCAGCAAGAAUACUCAUCGCAAAGUAUUGGAAGACACAAGAUCUACCCACUCUGGAAGAAUGGCAGAUGAAGGUGAUGGACUACAUGGAAUUGGCGGAAAUGACUGGCAGAAUCCGAGACCAGGGAGAAGAGUCGGUGGAAGAAGAUUGGAAGAAAUUUAAAGAUUAUUUACAGAAACAUUGCAAAAUUAAUGAAUGUUAGAGUGAUGUUGGAUUGAAGUUAAGUGGCUUCUAGCUGUACAAGUUUUAAAGCUAUAAAUAUAUCAAGAUUAAGGAUUAGGAUCAAAAAGGUUAAGAGAAAUGGAAAAAUUGGUUUUAAAUAGGUAAAAAUCUAAUGUCAUAAUAUAUUAAGACUUAGGAUUGGAAUUAAAAAGGAGGGAAAGAAAUUGCUGAGCUUACAAACUGAAUUGGAAUACAAAAGAGGGAGGUAUGAGGAAGUCCGGGAAACAAGUGAAUGUAAAAGAGGUUAUGAAAAGACGGAACUAUUUUUAACUGUUUUCUCUUUUUUUUCUCCCUUCUUUUUUUUCUAUUUUGUAUUUUGUAUGGUGUAUUUUUCUCUGUUUUUGUUAAAAAAUUUCUUGUUUAUUAAUGUGAUUUUAUUCUUUUUGAAACUUUAAUAAAUAUUAAUCAGAAAAAAAUAAAUAAAUAUUUGGGGGAGGUGAUGGAGCUCCUCCCCCCAACUCAUUUGCAAAAUAAUACCCCUACCAAUGCCUAACCGCCACAUGAGCCAACCUCCCCCUCCUUAUGUCUGGAGUGGCUAUGUACAAAAUGCAUAUACUAGAGUAUCAUAGAAUCAGAGUUGUAGUUGGAAGGGAUCCCGAGGGUUAUCCAGUCGACACAUGGCCCCCAUAUAAUUACAAGUAUUGGCAAAUAUAACAUUAAAAUGCAUUGUGUUAGAUGAAAUGGCUCUAUAAAAAUGUGUGGGAUAAAAGCUGGGUAAACCUAAGGUGUAGUAUUCCCUCUCUAGCCCUACCCAGAGGGGCUUAGGGAGAGAGUCUGAAGAUGGUCCCUGGUGGAGAAGAUGGUUCCUUGGGUACCUAGGCUAUUUCAACCUGAUCCCCACAUUAUUUAUUAUUAUUAUUAUUAUUAUUAUUAUUAUUAUUAUUAUUAUUAAUUGAGUUUAUAUACCGCCCUCUACCCAGAGGUCUCAGGGCGGUUCACAGAAAAGAUCACAACACAUAUCAUCAGCAUAAAAACAACAUUUUAAAAGGGUACAGGAUGUCAAACAGAUCACCUAAAGGCCUGGUUAAAAUGGAACAUUUUUGCCUGGUGCCUAAAGGUGUAUAAUGAAGGCACCAGGCGAACUUCCCAGGGGAGAGCAUUCCACAGAUGGGGAGCCACUGCAGAGAAGGCCCGUUCUCAUGUUGCCACCCUCUGGAUCUCUCGAUAAAUCGCCCUCGCAGGAAGAUGGCGCCCAAAGGUUCUACUUCCUCCUUGCUGCAGUUCCUAUUUUGCCAGGGAGAGAGGAACAAGUCACAAACAUCACUUUCAGGAGCUGAACCAGUAUAUGUUAAGCAAAGUUGGCCAAAGCUCAGUAGCAAUUAAAGGAUCUCAGCAAGCAGAUCCUCCAAGUGUCCCUAUUUUCAAGGGACAGUCCUGGGUUUACAGAAGCCAUCCUAGUUUCUGAUUUAUCCUGGAAUGUCCUUAGGACAUCCCUAUUUUUCUUCAGAGAACUGUUGGAGGGUAUGGAGUUAUAUGACCCCUGAGCCAAGGAGGCACAUGAAGGAGGGCCUCAGAAGAUGAUCUCAGGGUCCGGGUAGGUUCAUAUGGAAAGAGGCGGUCCUUGAGGUAUUGCAGUCCUUAGCCGUUUAAGGCUUUAUAGGUCUAAACGUACUGGGCUUCUCUUCCUUCUUAUCUCUUUGCAACAUUUUUUUCUAUCUCCCCUGUCUCUCCACCCUUUAUUAUGCCUGGGACAUAGCAGCUGGGUUCUUUUCCUUCCAUCCAUCAAGGCGAUAAGUAGGAGUGCAUCGUACUGCAGCUCCUUCUUCUUCCAUAGGCAGAGCUUCCAGGCUGUGUUCAAAUGUAGUCUCCUUGGGAACCAUUGCCUGGUGGUGCAGAUCCUUGCCUUCUUAAAGGGCUAGGCACCAGAAAAGCUCUAGCAGGCCCUGAUGACCCAUCACAGUGUGCCUUUGUGUGCUCAAGUGAUUAUGCCAGCCUUUCAGGGAAUGUAUGCAAUUGUGAGUGUAUUGACUACCCAAGACUUCACAUCUACAGUGAACCCUAAUCUCCAGCCAUGGAAAGCAAAAUUUAAUGAGGACACCAGCUUCCCCAAGUGUAUUUUCAUCCCUCCAUCUCUUUGGUUUCUUCAGAAGUCCUUGCAAUCUCUCUUUGCAGCAAUGUAAUUCAUUGACUACAACCUCGUAAGCACAUAUUUGCAAUGUACUUACCAAAAUGGCUUCAGAAGUACAUAUUACAGUCUAACAGUGACUUGUAAAGUUGAGUCAACAAAAUGGAGAUUAAAGGGACUGAAUGCUGUUUGGGGAGAUAAAUGCUGCUAACUACAGAACUAUCUCCCAAUGAUCUCUAAAUAAUUAGAAAAUGGAGACCACUGUUAACUAGAAGGGAGGCAGUCAAGGAUAGCAGGUCUGAUGCUUACAGUGCAAUCCACAAUGUUCUGCCUCCAUAUAAUCUCCUCACCUGGCUGGGCAGUUUCUCCUUCCUGUUUGUUCUCUUGCCUCUCUUCACUCUUGUGAUUCAAGGACCCGCCACCCGCUUGAGGAUAAGAAAGACACAUGGACACAGUAUAUUAGGUUAAUGGGCUAACAAAAGGCCACAACUUUAUUGAUUACGGUACAUCAUGUGAGAGGUAUUGGCUUAGGCAUUGGAUAAAACAACAGUGUGUGUCUCCACCCCCUCAGGGAGGGGUGAGUCUAUCAAGGGUUAACCACCAGUGGCAGGAGCCUGUUGAUGCAAAUACAACUGAAAGCUUCCCCAGAUGUCACCAGGGGUCAUGCCAUGGCCCUAGCCACCAGCAAGGGCGUCGGACAGGAUCCAUGACCGCCGGAUUCCUUUACCGGAAUACCCAUAAAGUGGAGGGGUAGGCGAUGGCCACACCCUGCCCUCCAAUACACAAACAUAUUCCAAUGCCUAACCGCCACCCGAGCCCAAAGAGGCUCGCUGCCAAUACCCUCACAGCUGCAACCAAUCCUUAAGGCUUCUGAUGAUGUCGGCCAGCCAAAUAUCAUUGCCAAGAUCCAAAAGGUGAACACCUUCAUCACGAAACAAAGACCGUUCGCUGAACCGGAUGUCAGCAUGCAGAAAUGUGAGAGCAAUCUGCAUUCCUGAGCUCCAUUGCUCAGACAUCAUUUGAAGCUGGACUUAAGCGUGACUAUGUAACUGCAAAGGUCUGUAUAGUUAAAACUAUGGUUUUCCCAGUAGUGAUGUAUGGAAGUGAGAGCUGGACCAUAAAGAAGGCUGAUCGCCAAAGAAUUGAUGCUUUUGAAUUCUGGUGCUGGAGGAGACUCUUGAGAGUCCCAUGGACAGCAAGAAGACCAAACCUCUCCAUUCUUAAGGAAAUCAGCCCUGAAUGCUCACUGGAAGGACAGAUCGUGAAGCUGAGGCUCCAAUACUUUGGCCACCUCAUGAGAAGAGAAGACUCCCUGGGAAAGACCCUGAUGUUGGGAAAGAUGGAGGGCACAAGGAGAAGGGGACGGCAGAGGACGAGAUGGUUGGACAGUGUUCUUGAAGCUAUCAACAUGAGUUUGACCAAACUGCGGGAGGCAGUGGGAGACAGGAGUGCCUGGCGUGCUCUGGUCCAUGGGGUCACAAAGAGUCGGACACAGCUAAACGACUAAACAACAACAACAACAACAAAUGUAAUUGCAUUAUCAUUUUGAACCCUCCUGAACAAAGCUGCUGUAUCUGAUAUUCUGCAACAGAAGCUCUGAGUGAGUAAAUGUUAUUUUUACCUUUUACAAGACUGUUUGUGUGAUAAUUGUUUUCAGGGGGAGAAAAGGGGGAGAUACCAGGAGAAUCCAGUCUGCCCUAAAGCAUCCUGGAUUAUUUAAACUAAAUGCCCAAAUCUAGCCUAUCUAAGCUUCCUUUUCAACUGCAAAAGGAUGCACUCUGCUGAACUCAUGUGAGGGAGGAAGGAUAAUAUUUAACAAAUAUAUUCUGUUCUAGCAUCUAUACACAUCCCUAUAUCCUCCCCCUUUUGCUAUUAUCUACCCCAGAGCCCCAGAGUCCUGCCCAGACAAAAGGUAAAAAGGUAAAGGACCCCUGGAUGGUUAAGUCCAGUCAAAGGCAACUAUGGGGUUGCAGCGCUCAUCUUGCUUUUAGGCCAAGGGAGCCAGAGUUUGUCCGCAGACAGCUUUCCAGUCAUGUGGCCAGCAUGACUAAACCACUUCUUGUGCAACGGAACACCGUGACAGAAGCAAAAACACAUGGACAUGCUGUUUACCUUUCUGCUGCAGCGGUACCUAUUUAUUAACUUGCACUGAUGUGCUUUCGAACUGAUAGGUUGGCAGGAGCUGGGACAGAGCAACGGGGGCUCACCCCGUCAUGGGGAUUUGAACCGCCGACCUUCUGAUCAGCAAGCCUGAGAGGCUCAGUGGUUUAGACCACAGCGCCACCCGCGUCCCUUUUGCCCUGACAGCACCCCUGAUAGCAGGUGGUGUAAAGUCUCUCUGGUUGAGUUUUAAAUAUAAGAAAGCUGGCUUUGUACCGCACCCAGCUCAGGCUCCAGCAACUGAUCUGAGGAUACCUUGGAUGGAGAACACAUAUUGCAGGUUUGGAUGCAACUGCAUUGCUUUCCCUUGCUUGAAAAUUCAGCUAAUUUUAGCCCUUCUCCUUCUCCUUCUCCUUCUCCUUCUCCUUCUCCUUCUCCUUCUCCUUCUCCUUCUCCUUCUCCUUCUCCUUCUUCUCCUUCAUAUAGGAAUUACUCCUUAGCAACUCAUUUUCUCGUUUAUUUCUGCAUUGCAUGACCCUUGGAGUUCCUUCCAAAUCCACAAUUUUCUGACUCUGAGCAGAGAUCUUUUGUUCUGUAAGUGAGGCAUCAGACUUGCAACAACAUAUUUCCAUUCAGCAAUGGUACCAUGUCAAGAGGGAUGUGUCAUAUGUUUAUUUGUUAAAUAGUUCUAGUCUAACUAUUAAUUCUUACUCUUCUUUGGCGAUCACUCAUAGCCGAGUAAGAUUGUCUUCCAUGAACACGGUUUUAACAGUGAGUCCGUAAGUGAUUGCGGAGGCCAAUUAAAUUUGGAAUAGAGUAGUUGCUUUGGAAGACCAUAAUCAGGCAUCCUUACAACAUGCCCAGUCCAAUGAAGUUGAUGUUAAAGAAUCAUCACUUUGACACUGGUGAUCUUUGCUUCUUCCAGUACCCUGGCAUUAGUUCACCUGUCUUCCCAAGUGAUGUGUAAAAAAUUUGGAGACACCGUUGAUGGAAUCUUUCGAGGAGUUGGAGAUGGUCCAUGUUUCACAAGCAUACAGUAAGGUUGGUAGUACAAUAGCUUUGUAAACAAGCCUUUUGGUUUCCCUGUGAAUGUCCUGGUCCUCAAACACUCUGCACUUCAAUCGGGAGAAAGCUGCACUCGCAGAGCUCAGGCGAUGCUGGAUUUCGGCUUCAGUGUUGGCCAUAUCUCUACCAACCAAUCACUCAUGUCCAAUCCACUCACAUUCAAUAGCACUACAACUCAGAAACCUCCCUACUACACACUCAUUUCCUUCUUACAAAAGAUUGCUGAAGAGACUACAAGACUCUCCAAUCCAUCCCAGCACUAAUGAGUUAAUGUCUCCUCACCACUCAAAUGUCCCUGUGUGUUGGUGUCUUGAGUUCAUACACCCCAUUGCACAUGUAUCUCAACCCCUCAACCCUGGAUCAGUGAGAAGGCAGUCAUUGUUUCAUUAUUCUACUGCUGUGUUGCCUUGCUUUAUUUGAAGACUGGCUUACACAGCAGCUGAAAUUUAAGACUUUGGGGCUAUAUGCACCUAGUCACAUCUUCAGAGGCAGGUGUGUGAGUUAAUGGUUAUUCCCUCAGCACGGAGUAGAAAAAGAGAGUGCUUUUGCAAGGAGCAGAAUUAUAUAAUAUUUGGCAGCCGUGCUCAAGUCUUCGUAGUUAUGGCACGAAGCGGAAAACUAGCAAAAAAGCUCUAGUAUAUUAAUGAAACACCCUGUAAACAUAACCCUUCUGCCAUCUUAAGUCCGUGGGUUUGUUUUUAACAUUCAGUGGAAGUGGUAGCAGGAAGCCAGGUAGUCAGCUAAUGUUUCUUCAGGAGAGUAAUGUAAUGUAUAUUGUGAUGGUCACACUAAAGACACAUUUACUGCAAACUGCAGUAGUCUCUAGUGGCCAUUGGCUGCACACAGCUAUAUAAAUGAGUCCAUGACGAGCCAAAGGCAAAGGAUCUAUAAUAAAUAAAGACAAAUCACACUUGAAAAAAGAGAUGCUCUAAGGCAAACUUUUCUUCAUAAAUGGAGGGGCACAGAAAAGGGCAAGCGUGUGGAUUUCAGAGCAGAAACAAAUAUUCAUAAGCGUUUGAAAUUUGUAGCUUUUCCGUGUGGAUUUUGAAUGUGAAGUAUUCAGCUUUGGUUUUUACACACCCACCCAAAACGUGGAUGUUUUACGUCGCAAUUCUCUUCAUAACUACUCAGAAGUACAUCCCAUUGAGUUGAAUGGGACUUACUCCAACACAAGGGUGUCUAGGAUUGCAGCUUUUGCCAGCACUCACUGAUAGCUUCCAUUUUGGCAGGCAUCAGAGAUGAGACGUUGCAAGCUGCCAGCAAUUAUAAACACUAAGCACCCUUGCAUGGUAUGUAUCAAAUGCUCUCAGGGCCAAACGAGAUGUGCUGCCAGCAGAUCUGUGUGUCAGAACUAGGUCUGCUGGUGCAUCGCUAUGAGCUGAAUCCAAUAUUAGUUUUAUUUAAAUUAAUAGACAUCUAUUAAUUUCAAUGUGAUAAAUUCAAUGUGGCACUAAGGAGAUCAUUCCAUCCAAGCCCUGUUGUGCUAAUGAAAGUCUUUGCUCUGGCUUCUGCUAGUGUGAUUCAUGAGCUGAAUCCAUCUCAAUGUGUCUACUCUGAACUUAGUCUGACAUAGCCCUAUGGAGGAGGGGGUUAUUAGUUUAGUUUAUUCUUAUUUUUAUUACAUAUUUUGUCUUUUUAUUUUUGUGCUGUGAACUGCUCUGAGAUCUAGGGAUGAAGGGUGGUAUACAAAUAAUAAUGAUGAUGGUUUUUGUGGUGGUGAUGAUGAUGAUGUAGGGGUGCUUUUGUAGACCAUUAGAUAUGGUGAAGAAGAAGGGGACCCUAAACAGUUUCUGCAAACAUUUUCUUCCUCCCCUCCCCACCUUAAUAUCUCCUCCCAGUAAGGUUCCAUGACAAGAAGAAAAUCCACCAUGGAAAAGGGUGGUGGUGGUUGUUUAUAAAAAAAGGAAAUGCUUGGGCAAUGAAAUGGUUCAUAGGCACCAUCACCUUUCUCCCUACUCAAUAUACUCUAAAUUGAUUCCCCUCCUGACCCCCUGAUUUAUAAUGAUUGGCAUCUGUCAAAUUUCAAUCUCUUGGCAUCAUCUCUUAUUUGCACUUCAGUUACUGUCAGCCUGGAGCACUGCAAAUAUAUUCAGAGACAAGUGAGGGGGUGAGCUCCCGUUGCUCGGUCCCUGCUCCUGCCAACCUAAAAGUUCGAAAGCAUGCCAGUGCAAAUAGAUAAAUAGGUACCACUCCGGCAGGAAGGUAAACAACGUUUCCGUGCACUGCUCUGGUUCACCAGAAGCAGCUUAGUCAUGCUGGCCACAUGACCUGGAAGCUGUACGCCGGCUCCCUCGGCCAAUAAAGCGAGAUGAGUGCCGCAACCCGAGUCGGCCACGACUGGACCUAAUGGUCAGGGGUCCCUUUACCUUUACAGGGAUAACCAAUGCAGUGGUUCCAGAUGUUGCAGGACUCUGGCUCCCAUUAGAUCCAGCAAGUAGGGCCAGUGUAAUUCAACAACAUCUGGAGGGAACCCCCCUACCUGCCCCAGCUGUAAAACAAGGGCACAUCUGUCCUUGUUGAGAGAGAGAGAUAUUCUGAAUAGAAAUAUUAAGAACAGAAGUUUAUAUAUAAAUUUUUGUUCUGAAUAUUUGUAAUGUAAAAACAUUUACAGUAGCCAACAUAUUAAAAAAGGGGGGAUGCGAAAACAUUUCUUUAAAUGCAACAAUCAAAACACAACUUUCAAAUGUAAAAGCUGCAGAAGCGUCAUAGAAUCCGUUCCCAGCAGAAUGAUAGUAAUGUUCAAGGGGACGUGGGUGGCACUGUGGUCUAAAUCACUGAGUCUCUUGGGCUUGCUGAUCGGAAGGUCGGUGGUUCAAAUCCCCUGGAUGGAAGGAGCUCCCGUUGCUCUUUCCCAGCUCCUGCCAACCUAGCAGUUCAAAAGCAGACCAGUGCAAGUAGAUAAAUAGGUACUAAUGUGGCGGGAAGGUAAAUGGCGUUUCUGUGUGCUCUGGCUUCUGUCAUAGUGUCCUGUUGUGCCAGAAGCGGUUUCGUCAUGCUGGCGACAUGACCCAGAAAGCUGUCUGUGGACAAAUGCCGGCUCCCUCAGCCUGAAAGCAAGAUGAGCACCACAACCCCAUAGUCGCCUUUGACUGGACUAAACCGUCCAGGGGUCCGUUACCUUUUUACUUUUUACCUUUAGUAAUGUUCUUAUUCACAGAAUUGGAUAAGAUGACAGGAAGGAUUCGAAACCUGCGGGACCAGAGAUUCACAGAAGAUUGGAAGAAAUAUACAAACUAUUUGAAGAGCAACUGUAAUCAACAAAUUACGCUAGUAGGACCACAAGAAGUUUCGUAAGGAGGAAUAUAUGAAAUAUUGCAAAGAAAAUAAAGAAGAGAGAUAUUAGUUAUGAAAUUUAAAUGUAAAAGUGAAAUUAAGAAAUGUAAAUUAAAUAAAAAAGAUUGGAAAAUUUUCAGAUGUGAUUGAUGGAAGUAAAAAAAAAUGUAUAAGAUAUAAAAGCAUGUUUUAUAAUUGUUGAAAAUGAUAUGUUAAGAAACUAAUUGUGUGUGUGUGUGUGUGUGUGUAAUGUUCUUAUUCAAUGAUGAUGAUAUGUUUAUACCCCACCCAUCUGACUGGGUUACCCCAGCCACUCUGGGAGGCUUCCAACAUAUAUAAAAACAUAACAAAACAUUAAACAUUAAUACAGGGCUGCCUGUGUUGUAGUUGUUGAAUAGGACGCCUCUAUUUUUAUCGGAGAAAUGUUGGAGGGUGGUGGCUCAGAGUCACUGAUAGCCUCAUCAUUGAUUUAUCUAAUCCUCUUUUAAAGACACCCAAGCUGGUGGCUUUCAGUACUGUCUGUGGGAAGAAAUUCCAUAGUUCAACUAUGCACUGCUGCAUCAAGGAAUACUGAUAAUAAAGCUAGUAUAUAUGUCUUGCAUUUGGUGAGGUGUGGAAAUGGAUUUUGCUUCUCUGGAUGUUCUUGAAUACUACCUGGUUCCAGGAUAGCAUUAAAUACCAGGGCCAGAAGUUUCAGAAAUGCAUUCUAGGAACAAAAUUAAGGGAUAUAAUGAAUUGGGGGGGGGGAGAGUAUAAAUCUUAUUUAUGCAGUGCCAGUGUUAAAUGCCAUCACAGAGUUUGAAUCUUUUGGGUUCCCUUUUUGCUUCAGUGCUAUAACAUCCAAUGCAUUCUUCUAAUAAGCCAAAUCUCUGUAGACACAGAGUCUGGGGAAGAUCUUUACCAUAUAUUUAAUUUCCACCUAAGAAACUUUUUUUUUGCAUGGUUUUAUUCUUAACAACAUACAGCUAAGCCCCACAUAUUGGAUUAAAGCUUAACCAAUAAGAACAGGGAAGUUUGAUGCUGUGAACCUAAAAUGAGAACAUCAUCUGCAUGAGAUGUAAUUUGGGGAGAAAUGCGUAAAAAAGACAAAUUAAAUAUCAAGGAUGGAACAGAUUUAACACAGCAUGGGAGGUAAAAAGCCAUCUGCAGUACAAACAACAAGAAGAAUUGCACUGAUGUAAUAGACUGGUAAGAUAACAUUGCCUCCCCGCCCCGCCCCCCACAAUCCAUGCCACUCAAUUUAGCAAAAUGGGUGCAUUAUAUUAGCAUGUGCUGCUUAUUACUUGGAAUAAUAAUGAUCUGAGCAGAUCCAGCUGCUGCAGUCAGUGCUUCAGUUUGUAUAUUGAGCAUGCCAGAUCUGUUUUCUGGACCAGAAAAUACCUGGUGUGUUCAAUGGGAAUGUCUGGUUCUUUGAGCUUUCUGGUGUCUUCCAUUUCUCCCUCUCAGAAAUGGAUGCCUAGAUCAAUAUAAGUUUCUAACUCUUCCAGUUUUAAGUUGAGCUUGCCAUAUUUUGACAUCAGUUUGUGAUUUUUUUAAAGUCCUUAUGACAAUUUACUACCACAUUUCUCCUGAUAAACACUUUGUACACAGUUUUCCUAAUAUACUCGCUUUUGCAAGCAAUUUCCCUUAAUGUAAUGCAUUUGUUAUAAUAAUAUAAUGUUGUUUUAUAAUAAUAAUAAUAUAAUAAUAAUAAUUUAUUAUUUAUACCCCGCCCAUCUGGCUGGGUUUCCCCAGCCACUCUGAGUGGCUUCCAACAAAAUAUUAAAAUACAGUAGUCUAUUAAACAUUAAAAGCAUUAAAAGUUUUCACUCCCAUGUGUAUUUCAUGUACACUCUCCACUAACAAAUAUAUUUUUGCUACACAUUUUUUGGCUGGAGAACUACAUCGCAACAUUUGGAGAAGUAUGAAUUUUUAAGGAAGUGCAGAUUACAAAGGUUCACAUUAAAAUGUGAAAGACAAUUUCCCCACAAUUUCUAUUCUCUCUCUCAUGUCUGGUACGUGAAAAGCCACUGGGAGCAGAACUAAAAAUAGUUAUGAUGUGAGAAGAAAUCAGAUUUCUUCUGAUUUCGGACUACAACUCCCAUCAUCCCCAACUACUGUGUGUGUGUACUUGGUCUGAAAGGAGCUGAAAUUCAACAUCUGGAGGACAACAGGUUGGAGAAAGUUCGUCUAAAUUACCAUUUUCUGGACAACAGCCCGGAUUGGACUGAUUUAACAACUUAGGAGUCGCUGCGUCAUUAAACUUCAGACGAUAGACUUGGACAACAGCCCAGAUUGGAAGAUUGGAAUGGAGUCAGGGAAAGCUGCAUAGGUAAACAGACAGUUGAAAAAAUAUACAUACACAAAUAAAGCUGUAUUCGAUGGACAAAAGGAUAUAUGAUUUCUGACAUGAUUGAGAAUCGCAGAGCCAGGGAUGGAGAACUUUAAAGCUUUAAGAUCGGGAUGUGGAAAAUAUGAAAAAACGAGAGGAGGCAGGACUGAAGAUUUGGAGAUAUGCUUCAGAGGUCCAGACUAUGAGAAACCCAGAAAAAUUAAUAACUACAAUUUGGAUUACAAUUUGGUCUUUUUUAUUUUUGCUUUUUUGUUUUUAAUUGGAUUAUGAUGUGGACAUGUUGAUUGGCUGUUUUUAUUGGAAAAUCAAUAAAAAUGAUUAAAAUAAAUAAAUAAAUUACCAUUUCAUGUAGUUUGCCUGAUUCAUAUGUGAGACACCCUCUCCUCUUUCCUAGGGCACAGUACUGUCACAUUGCCCUGCUCCUAGACCACUGGGACCACUAAUGGAUAGCCAAUGGAUCUUCUAUGUUGCAGACACAGAAUACCUAAACUAGUUUGCUCAAUUUCAAGAAUCUAGAUUAUUUUUUUUACUCAUGAAGGUUCACAUGCAGUUGCACAACAUCAUAGUUUUUGUAGUAGUCAAAUAUGUGCUGUUUAUGAGUUGAUGCUGCUGAAGCUUUACAAAAACCAUGAUGCAAUGCAAGCACAAGUGGUACCUCGGGUUAAGUACUUAAUUCGUUCCAGAGGUCCGUUCUUAACCUGAAACUGUUCUUAACCUGAAGCACCACUUUAGCUAAUGGGGCCUCGUGCUGCCGCCGCACUGCCAGAGCACGAUUUCUGUUCUCAUCCUGAAGCAAAGUUCUUAACCUGAAGCACUAUUUGUGGGUUAGCGGAGUCUGUAACCUGAAGCGUAUGUAACCUGAAGCAUAUGUAACCUGAGGUACCACUGUACGACCAAAGAAUGUCAUGUCACACAGGCCUAGUUUGCUUGGUUCUCUUGCUGCAAAAAUUGAUCGUGUGCAAUUUGACGAGAAGGACAUGGUGCUGUAUUCACUAAGCAACACCAAACUGCAGUCAAACUGCCUACUGCAAAAACACAUCAUAGAAAGAGCAGGGCUGGCUAGUGAAAAUAAUUGUUUCUCUGAGCUGUCACCAUGUCUCCAGAGCCUGCAAGACUUGGCAGAAUUAAAUAUAAUGAACUGAGACCUCAGCACAAUUAUUUAUUUUCAGAUUGGUGAAGUGCCAUUUUCUUCCCCGUUCAGAAAAUUAACCUCUGCAAAAGCCAACUUGCUCUACACAAAAUUAAUAAAGCAGAGCAUGCCGGCAAUAACUUACACAUGUUUAUUUAUAGGAUAUGUCUCCAGUGAGGAGGGUUAAGAUGAAAAAUUGACUCAAAGGACUUCAUUCUGAGGGGAUUUGCGCCAAGUCUUGCCUUCCGUUCACAUUGUUUAGACUCGGUGUUACUAGUCUGUGUGUCUCCUUUUAGCAUUAGAAAUUCUCUUUCCACGAGUAUUAGCAUAAUCUUUCUGAAAGGUGAUGCCUUGACCAAGCAAUAGGCUUAAACCAAUAAGCCAAUAGGCCACUAGGACAGACCUCACCUGGAUUACUGUGUCCAGUUCUGGGCACCACAGUUCAAGAAGGACACUGACAAACUGGAACGUGUCCAGAGGAGGGCAACCAAAAUGGUCAAAGGCCUGGAAACGAUGCCUUAUGAGGAACGGCUAAGGGAGCUGGGCAUGUUUAGCCUGGAGAAGAGGAGGUUAAGGGGUGAUAUGAUAGCCAUGUUCAAAUAUAUAAAAGGAUGUCACAUAGAGGAGGGAGAAAGGUUGUUUUCUGCUGCUCCAGAGAAGCGGACACGGAGCAAUGGAUCCAAACUACAAGAAAGAAGAUUCCACCUAAACAUUAGGAAGAACUUCCUGACAUUAAGAGCUGUUUGACAGUGGAAUUUGCUGCCAAGGAGUGUGGUGGAGUCUCCUUCUUUGGAGGUCUUUAAGCAGAGGCUUGACAACCAUAUGUCAGGAGUGCUCUGAUGGUGUUUCCUGCUUGGCAGGGGGUUGGACUCGAUGGCCCUUGUGGUCUCUUCCAACUCUAUGAUUCUAUGACAUUUAACUCAGCAUUGCUUGCACUGAUUCACAGCAGCACAAGAUAAUUUCAGGCAGGGUGCUAAACCUGAGCUACCGGGGGUGGGCUGUGUGCAAAAUAACUGGGCCCCUAGGAGCUGGCAUCCCUGGUGCAGAUGUGCCAGGAUUUGGUGCAUUUUGGGUAAUUAUUUGCUAGUUGUGUGGCGAUUCCUGCCUCCCACCAGUUGGAAUAACUGAAGACGCAGGACACCGUUAUUUUAGGUUAAUGGGAGAAAAAUGGCCACAACUUUAUUGGUUACAGGUAAGAGCGGUAUUGGCUUUAGGCAUUGGUCCUAUCAGACUAUCCGGCAUAGAACUGGAAAGGGUUAACACCAACAGGGGGAGCCCCUGAGAUGCACAUCCCUAGGCGCUCCCCGAGGGGUCACCGCUCGGGAGCGUGCUUUAGGCCCUAGCCUCCAUAGGUUUCGGACGAGGCAACGCCCCCCGGAAUCCUUUACCGGACUACCCUUAAAUAUUUGGGGGAGGUGAUGGCACUCCUCCCCCCAACUCAUUUGCAUAAUAAUACCCCUACCAAUGCCUAACCGCCCAACCAAGGACGUUGUGACGAUUUGCUACGAGGUAGGCGAAAAAACCAAAUGGCUUUUCUUCAAUGCCAAUUUGCCAAGUGGAAAAAUUCCUACCAGGCCCCUUAUGGCGACCAACCGAGGUCCAUAGCAAGGUCAGAGGGGAAAACUAGAGGUUGGGUGGGUGGGAAAGCUGCUGCGAGGACAAAAAGGGGAGAUCCCGGGCCCGCCCCAACCUUAAGUGACCCGGGCCACGCCCCCCGGCCGAUUGGCUGACGCAGCCUGAGGAUUCCCCAGGUUGCACAGGGCUGAAGCCAGCCCCACGCAGAUGUUGGGGGUGUGAGCCCACAACUCCACCCCCUCCUUAAGUCGGGAGUGGCUUUGUAGUGUAUAAAAAUCUAGAUAGUUUCCUUGUUCCAGGGAGUACCUUUGGGUUUUCACCUGAGGUGCUGUGCUGCAGAAAUAAAGAAAGGGGUCUACUUUGGUCUGCCUUCCUUGGCUGCAUUUUUAUUCAAGAAACUCCCUACUUGGGAACAAAUUGGGUGGGUGGAACUAGCCACUCCCUUGACACAAUGCUGCCUGGGCAGGAGUGAAAUGGACUUUCUGCUGGAGCAAUGGCAUCUCACCAUCAUCUCUUCUGAACCUCCUCCCUGAAGCCCUCUGUGCACCUUCAAAAUCUGCUCCAGGGUGGUAUGGAUGGUAUUUGACACCUGUAAAAUUAGAUUUACCACAACAGUGAUAACUCAUGUUGGAAAUGUAAAGAAAAGAAGGGUACUUUUUAUCAUAUGUGGUGGACCUGCCCUGGGGUGAAAGACUUCUGGGAGAAGAUUUAUAAUGAAUUGAAUUUUUUUUUUUGAAAUAUACAUUUAUUAAGAAACCAGAGGCCUUUCUUCUGGGAAUAACAGGUUUGGAAUUGCCCAAGAAAGAUGUUAAAUUGUUUUUGUAUGCCACAACUGCAGCAAGAAUUUUAUUAGCUAAGAAUUGGAAAACACAAGAAGUCCCAACAGUGGAGGAAUGGCAAAUGAAGAUGAUGGACUUUUUGGAGCUAGCUGACCUGACAGGAAGAGUCCGUGACCAGAAGGAGGAGGAGUACCAGGAGGAAUGGAUUAAAUUUAAAGAAUAUUUAGUUAAGUAUGUUAAAAUAAUAUAAUUGGAAAAGCUUGCAAAUAUCAGAUAGGCUUAGUAUUUAAUUAUGUAAUUUUAGGAACUAAUAUGUUUAAUGCGGGACGCGGGUGGCGCUGUGGGUUAAACCACAGAGCCUAGGACUUGCUGAUCAGAAGGUUGGCAGUUCGAAUCCCCGUGACAAGGUGAGCUCCUGUUGCUCGGUCCCUGCUCCUGCCAACCUAGCAGUUCGAAAGCACAUCAAAGUGCAAGUAGAUAAAUAGGUACCGCUCCGGCGGGAAGGUAAACGGCGUUUCCGUGCGCUGCUCUGGUUCGCCAGAAGCGGCUUAGUUAUGCUGGCCGCAUGACCCGGAAACUGUACGCCGGCUCCCUCGGCCAAUAAAGCGAGAUGAGCACCGCAACCCCAGAGUCGGCCACGACUGGACCUAAUGGUCAGGGGUCCCUUUACCUUUACCUUAUGUUUAAUGCUAAAAUAGAAAGUAAGAAAGAUGUUAAGUGAUUAAGUUAAUUUUAUGAGAAAAAUGGUGUUGGAAAACUGUUAAAAUGAUAUACACUGAAAUUCAAUUAGGGGGAUUCGAGGAAGUAACUUAACAAUGUUACUAAGAUCGGUUUAAAUACUGUACAGAUUUAUGUUUGUCUGUCUGUCUGUCUGUUUGUUUGUUUGUUUGUUUACUUUUUUGGAAAAUUAAUAAAAAAAACUGGAAAAAAACAACAAAAACAAAAUCUGCUCCAGGGUGUUGGAUUCUACCCAGAACUUCCAGAACAUAUUAUCUCCUACAGUUUCUUCAGCCACAAUGGGAAUUGCUGCCCUCAUCAGGGAUUCUCCAGCAUGCCUGGUGCAUUCUCCAGGGAGAUUGCAUAAUAGACAUUCCCUGGACCUUGGGAAUCAACUCACCCAGUUCACUUCCUGAUGUUUUCAAUGCCAACAACUCAUGCACUAAUUAAAUUAAAUAAAAAAUGCACUAAGGAAGACAGUGGCUUAUAUUUCCCCUUGGCAUGCUCUAUUUACAUGGAAGACUUCUGUAUCUUCCAGGGAGGGUGUGUGUGUGUGUGUGAGGGAGAGAGAGAGAGAGAGAGAGUGAGUCUGCCCCAUUUCGGCUUUGAAAUUUAUUCUUUGAGAAGACUUAACCAGCAGCUAGUGUAAUCGCUUCAGAAAGAUGGACUCCGCUCAGUGAAAAUCCUUCAUUCUUUGACAGUUGCUGCAGGGACUCUGGGGAGUUUCGACAGCAGAUGCAGAAACUAGUUCUGAAUCAGGAGAGAGUGGGGGGCAGAAGAUGAGCAAAAUAUCUAUUCUUUUCUCAUCUGUCAAAUUCAGAAUAUCGCAGCUAGGUUCACUUCCCCACUUAGGCUGAUUCUGUUUAUGAACCUUGUUUACCACCAGGCUAAAAAAGGAGCACAUUCUCCCUGAGCUAAUGUAGCGCGCACACACCAUCCACAUGAGCUUUCCUUUACAUGUCCCCCACAGUCAGGGCAGAAUAAAAGCAAGCAGGCUCAGCUGGGAAAGAAUUAAGAAUUGCUCAGAAGGCAUCACAAACAGAAAGCCUGGAAGAAUUGCUCUCUCUGAUUAUUGGGAAUUGAUUUGAAAACACAUGCAUGAACUAAUUUGGACUGAUAGUACUAUAUUUUGUUUUUGUACAUGUUUGAAAUAUAAUGGAAAUGAAAAAUGGCUAAAGGUAAAUUGCAGAAGGUUUAAUGUGGCAUUUUUUUCCAUGGGGCUAUUUGAAUUCCAAGGAGAACACUUUGAGCUCUUGCUAAAUUAACGAUUAUGCUGUUUCUCUGGUAGCAAACCUGGGAGUGUUGUAACUUUAGAUCAUGUGAGAGGGAUUAGGUUGCAAAUCUCCAUUUUGAAGUGAGUUGCCUUUGAGUCUUUGUCUCCCAAACUUCAUGGAGUGUAGAUGUAAAAUGAAGCUCUCCGGAAGGAAGAGUAAACAGCCUGGAGGGUGGAAUGCAAGCUGUGGAGAUUAAUCUGUUUGGAUAAUUUCAUAUUUUGCAAGAUGCUGAAUUUACCCAUUUGCUUUGAAUUUGCUUUGCAUUGAAAUGAAUGGGGUGUGACAACAGACUGACAAUUUGCAAAAUGAAUUAAGCGACCUUUUGCUACAGCAGACAGUGGGGUGAGUAGCAAAGAUUUUGGCAGGGGAUGAACUGCAGCAGGGCAGAAACAGAGUUGUGUGUGGAUCAGAAAAUGAUGCCCUCUUACACCCCUAUCUAAGACCCAUCUUUACCCCCAAACUGCAACAAAUAAGUCUAUUUUAAUUUUUUGUCAUAUGUUUAUCUCACCCCGCCCCAUCUCUUUCUCUUAUAAUCCCCCCUCUUUUUUUCUUCUCUUUUCCAUGGUUAAACAAAAACCUCUGAAGAAAUAAAAGUAAAAUGGCAAUGGUGAUAAUUCUGCGCUGUCAAAGCAUAACCCCCGCUUACAGGUCCCAGCUCUUCAGUUUAAUCAUCAUCAUCCUCAUCAUCAACAUCAUCUAUAUCCCGCCAACUCUGGGCAGCUUCCAGCACAUAUUAAAACAUAAUAAAAUGUCAAGCAUUAAAAUACAGGUCUGCCUUCAGAUGUCUUCUAAAAGUUAUAUAGUUCUUUAUCCAACAGGCUGAAACUUGACUGGUCUUCUGAGUCACAACCUCACACCUAAUGCCAUUUUAAUAUGUUUUAACUCCUACAUCUCCUUCUAAGUUGCUACUGCUUACCUGGUAUCCCCAUCCUCUACUUCCCUCUGAUCUGGUUUUGAAUUUGGGAGCAUUUCUUUCCACCCAUUUUCUCAAACACAUUUCCACUGCUUUUAAAUCUCAAGACCUCUUCCCAUCAAGCUAGUUUUAAAACCCGCUAUUAACCUCAACAGCAGCCAAAUGAAGAAGUGCCUAUCUAGCUCACUUGCAACAUCCCUGGCUUAAUUGAGUAGACUUGGGCCACCAUUGUGUCUCUGUUGCUUUGGCUCAGUCCAUUUGCUCUGGUAGCUGGCCAAAGUUUAGCACUCAUAAUUUGAUAUAAAAUGGGAUAAAACACCUCAUUUGCAGAGGCCAUGACUAAUUUCCUGCACAGUUCAGAACUUUCCUCAGAAAUCAGGCCUUUCAUGUUGUUUCUCUUGUAAUGAUUUAAUCUGCAAAGAGACUUAACAUAUUCUCUUUGAUUCCACCCCGUCCUCUCUCUCUCUCUCUCUCUCUCUUCCAAGUCUCAGUCAGAAUGAUCUCACAAACAACUUUAGUCUUCAUGUUUUAGUCUUUGAUAUAUUCAGGAUGUAAAGGGAUGAUUCUCAGUUUGAUCCAGAAAGUCAGUACACACCGGAAGUUCGUGUGUGUGUGUGUGUGUGUGUGUGUGUGUGUGUUUGUGUGUCUAUAGAGCCCCCCCCCUCAGCUUUUCCUAGUUCUUCUUUAGAAACCUGGGUACUCCUGUUAUUGCAUCGCAUAUGUAAACUCAUCUGUAAACUGGCAAAAGGCAAACUGACUUCAAGAACUAUGUCUUUUGAUAUAAAACAGAGGGCCUCAGAGAAUGUGGUGUGUCUGGAUACAUCAAAGAGCAAUAUCCUGGAUGUAUGAAACAAAACUUCACCUCACUUGCACCAGUGGAAGAUCUAAACCUUCAUCCAUGAAAGAUGAAAAAGAUCAUACUGUUGGUUUCUUCUGUGUGAACGGUGUUAUACUUGUGCCAUGUUCCUCAAUGGAAAAAUGAUUAAUAAUUGCAAUUUAAAGCCAACUGGAAACCAAGCCUUGUGGGGGAAUGGUUGAGUGAAUUGGAUGUGUUUAGCCUGGUAAAGAGGAGACUUAGAGGAGAUGUGAUAGUCAUCUUCAAAUAUCUAAAGGGCUGUCAGAUGGAGCAAGCUUGUUUUCUCCUGCUCUAGAUGCUAGGACUGGUCCCAUCACCUCCUGGCGAAUAGAAGGGGAAGAAAUUGAGGCAGUGAGAGAUUUUACUUUCUUGGGCUCCAUGAUCACUGCAGAUGGUGACAGCAGUCACAGAAUUAAAAGACGCCUGCUUCUUGGGAAAAAAGCAAUGCCAAACCUUGACAGCAUCCUAAAAAAAAGAGACAUCACCUUGCCAACAAAGGUCCGUAUAGUUAAAGCUAUGGUUUUCCCAGUAGUGAUGUAUGGAAGUGAGAGCUGGAUCAUAAAGAAGGCUGAUCCCCGAAGAAUUGAUGCUUUUGAAUUAUGGUGCUGGGGGAGACUCUUGAGAGUCCCAUGGACUGCAAGAAGAUCAAACCUCUCCAUUCUGAAGGAAAUCAGUCCUGAGUGCUCACUGGAAGGACAGACCCUGAAGCUGAGACUCCAAUACUUUGGCCACCUCAUGAGAAGAGAAGACUCCCUGGAAAAGACCCUGAUGUUGGGAAAGAUGGAGGGCCCAAGGAGAAGGGGACGACAGAGGACGAGAUGGUUGGACAGUGUUCUCGAAGCUACCAGCAUGAGUUUGACCAAACUGCGGGAGGCAGUGGAGGACAGAAGUGCCUGGCAUACUCUGGUCCAUGGGGUCACAAAGAGUCGGACACGACUAAACAACUAAAUAACAACAACAAAGCCUGGUAAAGAGGAGACUGAGAGGCGAUACGAUACUCAUCUUCAAAUAUCUAAAGGGCUGUCAGAUGGAGCAAGCUUGUUUUCUCCUGCUCUAGAUGCUAGGACCCAAACCAAUGGGUCCAAGUUACAAGGAGAUUCUGAGUAAACAUCAGGAAGAACUUUCUGAUAGUAAGAGCCGUUUGACAGUGGAGCAGACCUCCCACAAGAGGUGGUGGACUCUUUUUCCUUUGGGGUUUUUAAGCAGAGGUUGGAUGGCCAUCUGUCAUGUACAGUGGUACCUUGGGUUACAUAUGCUUCAGGUUACAGACUCUGCUAACCCAGAAACAUUACCUUGGGUUAAGAACUUUGCUUCAGGAUGAGAACAGAAAUCGUGCUAUGGCAGCGCAGCGGCAGCAGGAGGCCCCAUAAGCUAAAGUGGUGCUUCAGGUUAAGAACAGUUUCAGGUUAAGAACGGACCUCUGGAACGAAUUAAGUACUUAACCCGAGGUACCACUGUAUGAUCUAGUUGGGAAGGAGCCUGUUAAAGGCAAACAAUGCCAAGACAACCUGUGUUUAAUAGGAUUAGGGCUGGUCUCAGUGGGAAAGGGAAGGAUUUCAAUAGGUUGGGAUUUGAUGAGCAUUCAAAGGCAGUAAUGCUUUUGAAUAUCAGUUGCUGGAAAUGGAAGAGGGGUGAGUGCUCUUGUGUUUGGCUCCUGCUUGCCAGCUUUCCACUAGGUUGGCCAAUGUGGGGACAGGAUGCUAGACUUGGCGUCAUCCAGCUGGCUUUCCUUAUGUUCUUAUCAUUUGCUGAUCCUGUUGUGUGUUAAAUUAGGAGGUUGUGGCCCUAGACCACCUGAUCCUUGUGACAUGUCUCAUGAUUCCAGGGUGUACUUGCAAAAGAGAAUUAGACUUUAAAAGAGCCUUACAGCACCUUAAAAUAAAUAAAACAGGCCCAGUUUUUUUGUAUGCCUCGCCAUAAUAUGUUAUUCCUUUCCUUUCUGAAUCAUUCAUCACACAUAAGUUUAAAAUAGUUCCCAUGUUGUUUUCAUGGAUGAUCAUAUUGGCCAAAAUUGGUUCUCGGUAAUCUCUACUCUACCUAAACCAGGAUUCUGAGAUUGCUUUGGGGGUUUUAUUUUUUAAGGAAAUGCAUUACUUUGAACAAGACGUAGCCCAAGCUAAGCAUAUUUAAGACCUUCUGGUUUUUCAAUGGGGCAGUUAAGGGCAUACUAGCUGGCUGCCAUUUCUUAUUUCCCCAUGAACCUUAGCAGUAAAUGUGCACAGCAUCCUAUUCAGUGCAGCUGAGCUUAAUAAAUGAGCUUUCUGAAAGCCCUUAUUAUGAAACGUCUUGGGCCCGGUCUUAUUCAACAUCUUUAGCAACGACUUGGAUGAUGGACUCAAGGGCAUCCUGAUCAAAUUUGCAGAUGACACCAAACUGGGAGGGGUGGCUAACACCCCAGAGGACAGGAUCACACUUAGCAGGAUGGGUGGGAUCUCUCAGGAUAUUGUGUGACUUCUUCAAAGUGCGAGACGUGAAGAUCUCAUCCAGGGUUGGUAGUUGGAGCCCAAUAACAUUCUGGGCAAUUUUAAUUAUUCUCUGUAAAGCUUUUCUAUCCGUUUCAGAGCUGCUCCCAUACCACGAUAAUAUACUAUAUGUUAAGACACUCUCGAUGGUACUGUGAUAAUAGGACAGAAGUAGGUGCUGAGAUAGAUUCAGUCCCCUGAGCAUUCUCAGGAAAUACAACCUCCCCUGCACCUUCCUCACAACCAUAUUAAUAUUUACAGUCCAUGAGAGGUCCUCAGAGAUGUAAGUGCCCAGGUAUUUAAAACUACCAACCCUCUCCACCUCCUCGCCAUUUAUGUGCAAUGGUAAAAAUACGCUUUUCUUUCUCCUAAAGUCAAUUAUGAGUUCUUUGGGUUUUUUGGUGUUAAGCAUAAGAUUGUUUUCUUUACACCAUUGAAUUAACCCCUGGACUUCUUUCAAAACGACCUUGACAGAUUAGAGAACUGGGCCAAAACAAGAUGAAUUUUAACAGGGAGAAAUGUACUUGGGCAAAAAAAAUGAGAGGCACAAAUACAAGAUGGGUGACACCUGGCUUGAGAGCAGUACAUGUGAAAAGGAUCUAGGAGUCUUGGUUGACCACAAACUUGCCAUGAGCCAACAGUGUGACGCAGCAGCUAAAAAGCCAAUGCAAUUCUGGGCUGCAUCAAUAGGAGUAUAGCAUCUAGAUCAAGGGAAGUAAUAGUGCCACUGUAUUCUGCUCUGGUCAGACCUCACCUGGAGUACUUUGUCCAGUUCUGGGCACCACAGUUCAAGAAGGACACUGACAAACUGGAACGUGUCCAGAGGAGGGCAACCAAAAUGGUCAAAGGCAGGAGGGCAACCAAAAUGGUCAAAGGCCUGGAAACGAUGCCUUAUGAGGAACGGCUAAGGGAGCUGGGCAUGUUUAGCCUGGAGAAGAGGAGGUUAAGGGGUGAUAUGAUAGCCAUGUUCAAAUAUAUAAAAGGAUGUCACAUAGAGGAGGGAGAAAGGUUGUUUUCUGCUGCUCCAGAGAAGCAGACACGGAGCAAUGGAUCCAAACUACAAGAAAGAAGAUUCCACCUAAACAUUAGGAAGAACUUCCUGACAGUAAGAGCUGUUCGACAGUGGGAUUUGCUGCCAAGGAGUGUGGUGGAGUCUCCUUCUUUGGAGGUCUUUAAGCAGAGGCUUGACAACCAUAUGUCAGGAGUGCUCUGAUGGUGUUUCCUGCUUGGCAGGGGGUUGGACUCGAUGGCCCUUGUGGUCUCUUCCAACUCUAUGAUUCUAUGAUUCUAUGAAAUGAUUAAGAACAACCAAUUCAGUGUAAUUAGUUAUAAUUCUCUGAUUAUCUCCACUGCCAAGGGGGGCGGGCGGGAAUUGACAGUAUCUUUGCCCCUUUGCUUGCAAAGCCUUCCCCCACACAUUUGGGCUGCUUUUUCAAACCAAAAUAUCGUAGCCUCCAAAUACCUUCUGUUUCAGCCAGCCAAUGCACACACCAUUAAGAAACUGAACAAGGCAGGAUAUGUGGGACUGACUAAACUCGACCAAACAUCAUAAGGUGGAUUUUAUAAGAAACUGGUAUUUAUUUUGCUUUGAACUUUUUAAAUGCCACAUAAACUUUGAUUUGUCAAACUAUUUUAUUUCUGGCUAACUGUAAUUUUGUGCAGGUGAAAAAGGCUGAACAUUACUUGCCCUGCUUGCUCAAUGCACCACCAAUAACGGCUCUGCAAUUAUUGGGGUGUUCUUUUAUAAGAGCUCUGAACUCCUAUUAAAUCAGGCAAUUCUUUCAUAAGAAGUGUUCUUACCCAUCCAAAGAGUGCUAGAUGUUAGAACAGUACUGUUUAAGAAUCUUAUAUAAAGUUUGAGAAAGCAUUGUCCCACCACCUUGAACUCAGUUCACAAGAAACCCCUCAAAAGUUAUCCUACUCCAGCUCCCUCAAGAUUAAUAAGAACUGUGCAAGAGCACAACCGAGAGAUAUACCCAUCCAUGAUUUAAAUGUGUUUUUGAAACAAACGCUUAACCAUAUUUUGGAUUUAAUGUUAAUUGAGUCCUUAAUUUUCUUCUGUAACAAGUAAAUGGGACAUGAGCUCAAUAAUGGAGACUUUUAUUAACAAGCUGAUUGUUAUGAAUGCUUGGUUCAGGGGCCUUGUCAUUGCCGAUCAGUUUUAACAAUUGCAUAACUCCCAUUUUAAGAAUGUAUGUUGUUAUUGAGUGGAGAGAAUCCCAUUAAUUUCAUCUCUGCUAUGAAUUCCUGCUUUGUUCAUUUUGUAAGAUUUAUAUACUUCUUGAGUAUAAUGAAUCCUCAAUGCGGUUUACAAAAAGAAUAAAGUAAUAAAAUUAUCCGUAAGAAAACACACCUGUUUAAAACAUUUUUAAAAAUUAAAAUUGGGCUAAAAAAAUAGAUUGACAGACGUCAACUUUCUACAUGUCUGGGUAGAGAAACAGCUGAAUGUAAAGAAACAGCUGGAUAUUAUUGGCAUACUGGCGGCAAUUUGCCCCCAACUCCCCAACUCUUUUGGAAGAAACUGAUUUUCUGGAUCCAUUUCAACCGGAGUUUCAGCACAGUUUUGGCACAGAAACUGCUUUGGUCGCCCUGUAUGAUGAUCUCUGCUGAGAGAGAGACAAGGGAUAUAUAUCCCUGGUAAUUCUUCUCAACCUCUCAGCGGCUUUCGAUACCAUCAACGAUGGUAUCCUUCUGAAAUGUCUGUCCAAACUAGGGAUGGGUGGCACCAGCGGCGUAGCGUGGGUUGUCAGCACCCGGGGCAAGGCAAGUAAUUUGCGCCCCCUAACCCCUAACCUGCCGCCGCUGCCAGCUUCUUCUUGCUGCUGCUUGGGCUGGUCUGGUGUGGUUCUCUCCCGCGCUCAGCGCUGCGCUGGGCGGCCGCUGCACUGUCCCUCCCCCAGAUAGUCCCUCACUCUCUCUCCGCACCGCACGCCUGGCACCCACCCCCCUCCACAGUGGGCGGCGACCCAGCGGCUUGGAUCGGAUUCGCACAGCCAGCACUGCAGUGAGAGAGAGUGAGUGAGCCAGGUAGGGGCAGAGAGCUGCGAGUGCGAGCGCACCCCCCCCCGAUGUUGCGCCCGGUGCGCCUGGCCCCCCCUGCACCCCCACGCUACGCCACUGGGUAGCACCACUUUGCAGUAUUUCCAGUGCUACUUGGAUGAUUGUUCCCAGAAGGUGUUGCUUGGGGAAUGCUUUUCAGCCCCAUGGAGCCUUCAAUGUGGGGUUCUGCAGGACUCAUUCCUAUCCCCUACAUUGUUUAACAGCUACAUGGAACUGCUGGGUGGGGUUAUCCGGAGGUUUUGGAGUAUGCUGAUGACACUCAGCUCUAUUUCUCCUUUGUGUCUGCAGGUGAGGCAGUGGAAGUGCUGGACCAGUGUCUUGCCUUGGUCAUGGACUGAAUGAGAGCCACCAAACAAACUCAAUCCCGAUAAGAAUGAGGCACUGUUAGUGGGUGGUUCCAUAGACCGGAUUGGUGGGAGAUCUCCUGUUCCUGAUGGGGUUACACUUCCCCUAAAGGAAGCUUAUAGCUUGGGGAUCCUCCUGGAUCCUUUGCUGUCGCUCGAGGCUCAGGUGGCCUCAGUGGCCCGGAGUGCCUUCCAUCGGCUUCAAGUCUUAUGUAAGGCAUCUAUUUCUAUCACAAAUAGCUAACAAUGAAGUGUUAGCCACAUUCUGAACCCAACCAGCCACAAGCACUCUCUUCACAUCAUUUGACUGUAUAAGCUGAAUCUGAUCCCAUGUCACAUCAUUGAUUCUGGUACUGGAUGCUUCAGCUACAGCUGCAACUAGGGUCAGUGGACAGCAUAUUGCUUCCUACCUUCCUUCUGAUGCUGGUUCCUAGUUGGGGAUGGGGCAGAAGCAUUUUUUGAAAAACCCUCUGCUUCUGCGAGCUGGGAAGUACCUUUGAGAGUGGAGAACAUUAUUUUGAUAUACUCCCUGCACACCCCCAAACCUGAGGGAUGGAGGGGUCAUUCCCUGCUUACCUCUACAUUUCUCCACCCCUGUUUUGCCUCCUUGAUACCUCACUGCUGCCCAUAUUUAAAGUAAGGUAAAGGUAAAGGGACCCCUGACCAUUAGGUCCAGUCGUGACCGACUCUGGGGUUGCGGCGCUCAUCUCGCUUUACUGGCCGAGGGAGCCGGUGUACAGCUUCCGGGUCAUGUGGCCAGCAUGACUAAGCCACUUCUGGCAAACUAGAGCAGCACACGGAAACGCUGUUUACCUUCCCGUGGUAGUGGUACCUAUUUAUCUACUUGCACUUUGACGUGCUUUCGAACUGCUAGGUUGGCAGGAGCAGGGACCGAGCAACGGGAGCUCACCCCGUUGAACCGCCGACCUUCUGAUCAGCAAGCUCUAGGCUCUGUGGUUAAACCCACAGCGCCACCCGCGUCCCAUUCCUUUAAAGUAGGAUCGGACAAAUUCACGGAGGAUGUUAUUGACUACCUGCCACAAUGCCUAUGUUUUCUCUCUACUGUCAGAUGUAGUAUGAUUCUGAUUAUCACUUGCUGGGAACUGCAGUUGGCUAAUGUACUCCCAUCCUGCUUGAAGGGCUUCCCAUGAGCAUCUGGUUGGCCACUCUGCAAGCAACGACCCAAAACAGAUGGGCCAUUGGCUUGAUCCAUCAGGGUUCUUGUUAUGUUCUUCCUUGGGCCACAUCUCGAUGCCUGCUUCUCUCAACGUCAGCAAAAGAACACAGGGGCCAAAACAGCAGUGAAGAUGUCAAGUGGGGAAGGGAGAUGAGGAGUGAAGGAGGACAUCAUGGAAGGAGGAAGCGAUGGACAUUGGAGAAGAGGAAGAACUCAACCAGAGACUCUUCAGGGCAGAACAUGUAAACUCUGGUUUUUUUAAGCAGCAGCCAGGAAUUUAAGAAAGGGGAAAACUGGGGAAGGACUAAGGAAUUUGGAAGGAAGAUGGAGGAAAGAGCUGGCUCUCUAACUUUCACCCCAAACAGCAAAAACUCUGAUCAUGAAAUUUCAGACAUUUCCUUAAUAUUUUAUGACUGAUAAUUGAUAUUAUUUGAUAAUCUACACAUUGCAUCAUCGGGUAUUUGUGUCGGGUAGCUUAUAAUACUUCAUUUUCGAUAGCCAGCAUGCAGCAUUGCUUUUUAAAACAUGUUUAUAUAUUUUUAUGGUUCAGGUGAUGGUAUUUUGUGAAAUUUUGUAUCUGAUGCCUGCCAAAACUGAUACAGACAGGAUAAAUGCUGGUUGUGUGAAACACUUGAAUUUAAAUGUUGAGGUACACUGUCACAUUCAAAAAACGCCUAAAUAUCAUAUUUGAGAUCUGAAUGCCAAAAACAGCAGAUUUGAACUGUUUUUGAAUAUUUGUAGAUAAUACUUGCUUCAGCUCAGGCUUUUUUUUUUUUAACCACAACAGCUUCACAUCUGCCGGGAAAUCUCCAACUUUAGAGACUGCUCACAUUUCCAAGUAAUUCAGCUGAUAAAGAAAACAUACACGCACUUUAAGGGAAAGGAAAUCAGCAUUCAGGGAGAAGUCUUUAUCAAUUAGAUCUCUUCUGGUAAGAACUGAGACUGAAAAACCAAAGAGGUUGCUAUAUUGUCGGUUAUCCCUCUCCCAAUCCCAGAAAAAAGUCUAUCUAUACAACAACAACAACCAGUGCUUUGAUCAGAGCAAAUGGAUCACACUCAUGAUUCCGGCUGAUAAUCUUUCUUCCCUGGUGGGACCCUCUUUGGAAGAAAGAAGCUGGGUAGAAUAUGAACAGCUGCCAUUCAUACAUAAUCACAGGUUUAGGGAGGGUAAGGCAAUGAUGGAUGUUUGUGACAGUGAUUCACUGGGUGGUAUUCAACUAUCAUACCCCCUGCCAGUGGCAACCCUACACAAAGGCUUCUGCUUGAGGAUCAGGGCUUCUCCCACUCUACUUCCCCUGCAUGACCACUGCACAGCCCCAUAUUGGUUCAUGGAUGGUAGAACCCCAAGAAUAGCAUGUUGGGGGUGGGGAGAGUCCCAUCUGGCAAGCUGAUAUGCUUACACAGAUGGAGUGUUCAACAUAACAUCAUGUUGAAUUCCACCGACUGAUUUAAUAACACACUAUAACUUGGAUUCCUGGUACGCAGCCUUGAACUUGUGUGAUUCUGAAUGACUUGUUUUGUAUAUUUUAGUUCUUGGAGCUGAUGAGGAAUUUGCACUUAUGCAUGUCGAUGUCUUGGUAGGAAUAUCAGAGGAAUAACUUGCGCUGUACAACGCUUUGGUAUUUCUUCCUCCAUUCUCAUCAGUGGAGAUAUAAUUGGUAGAGACUUUCCCCCUGAAUGAUGGCUUCUUCCCCCUUCAAGUGCUUUUGUAUAUUUUCUCCAUCAGCUGCAUUAUCUGGAAAUGCGAUCUGCAUUUAAAUCUGAGUAGUUCCCCCCUCCCCAGCAACAAAAUUAAAUUCCCAUAGAGUCAGUGCUCUUCUUACAUGACAUACAUGGGUUUGAGAUUGCUUCUGCAAGUGCAAGGCAUCUUGGUUUAGAGCAUUUGAGUUGUACCAGAGUCUGAGUGAUUUGGGCAAGCAGGUUAACAGCCCAAUUCUAUGCACUUAUAUUAAAAAAAACCCCAAAUAUCUUUGAGGGCUUACUCCCUCGAAACUAAGUCAGGAUUGCAGCCUAGGUGACCUGGGCCACAAGUUUUUUCUGAGGAUGGAAUAGAAAACCCUAGAUAUGGCUUCUUCAGCUACUUUGACAAAUAUGACAAAGAAGAACUAUACAUUGCCGGAGCACACAGAAGACUCCAUAGACCAUUAAAUGGUGAAAUGGUUAUACAGUGAUACCUCGGGUUAAGUACUUAAUUCGUUCCGAAGGUCUGUUCUUAACCUGAAACUGUUCUUAACCUGAAGCACCACUUUAGCUAAUGGGGCCUCCUGCUGCCGCCGCGCCGCUAGAGCACAAUUUCUGUUCUCAUCCUGAAGCAAAGUUCUUAACCUGAAGCACUAUUUCUGGGUUAGCGGAGUCUGUAACCUGAAGCGUAUGUAACCUGAAGCAUAUGUAACCUGAAGUACCACUGUACAGUGGUACCUCAGUUUAAGAACAGCCCUGUUUACAAAUGAUUUGGUUUACAAACUCCACAAAACCGGAAGUAGUGUCCGGGUUAGUGAACCUUACCUCGGUCUAAGAACAGAAUCCGAAUGGUGGAAGGGCACCGGUGGCAGGAGGCCUCAUUAGGGAAAGGGUGCCUCGGUUUAAGAACAGUUUCGGUUUAAGAACGGACUUCACUGGAGAGCAUUUCUGAUCCCCCUUCUCCCAGAACGCAAAUUUCAUUGAGAGUGCAGGAACAGCAGAAUCAGAGACAUUUGACCAUGAGCGGCCACCGUAAGGGAAGCUGAGGUUGCUAUGAAGGGGGGAAGAGGAGCCCAGUUUGGAGCAAUGCCAUUAUUACGGUUUGUUGCGUUCCUUUGUCACUCGUUAUUAGGAAUGAAUAAAACUUAUUAAAAAGGACUCUCUUUGUUUUCUCUGUUCCUGCUGCGACCAGGGGAGGAAUAGCUUUCCCGAAGCCUUGACAGAGCCUUGACACUAGCUGACUAGUGCCAAAGCACAAAACCCAAAAAUGUGUGCCUUUUGGUUUGAUGCUAUGGUGCAAGCCAAGUGGCGUGAGACAAAAAACCCCAAGCGCCUUUUGGUCCUGUGCUUUGGCACAAGCCGGCUGACUUGUGCCAGAAUGCCAGACCAAAAAAUGGGACGUUCUAGGACCCAGUAUGAAGCCAGAAAUGGCUUCUGUAUUUUCGGGGUGUCCCGCUUCAAUCGGAACAGUUGAGUGCUAUAGGGUAGAGUCCCGGGCAGGACCUGCACUACAACACAGGCAGAUAGCAAAAUUGUUUAAUAAGCUGAUAGUUGCACUCCAGUAAGGAUUCUGCUUGUUCUCUACCACCUAUAUGAAGGCACAGAAUUAGGACCCUGGUGAGCAGACACCCAGUGCUUCAUCUGACAAUUGAAAGGUGUGUGCUAAUGGGGUUAGACCACCAUCCCAGAUAGAGACCUCCCACAGUGUGAGUAUAUAAGCAGAAUUUCAGAGUUUUGAAAUACAUAUUCUGCUAGCAGCUGUUGCUGGAUAAACUGUCCAGAUGUGAGUGGGGGGGAGCGUCGUACUUUGUUCCAAUACCAAAGAGAUAAUGUCUGAUCGUUCUGUGCAUAAAAAGCCUUAGCAAAUGCGGCUGUCACUCAAUGUUUCACAAAGGAAAUAUAAUUUGUGCAUCUUCGUCUGCAGCCUAGACAGAUGGAAGCACAGCAGGUAGAUAAAUACAGCCAUUCUCUCCCAUGAAUACCUUCAAAAGAAAGGUCAUAGAUAAGACAGCAAGCAAAAUGAAUGGAGAUUAGGAGGGACAUCUGUUUAUUUAGGAUAGCAAGAAAAAAUAUUCAUUGCUUUUCAAAUAGAUUGCUGCUCACAACCUUAACAGUGGACAUCUGCUUAAUUUUGAACUCUGAGCAAUCCUAAGUAUUAGUCUUCUCAUUAAAAAGAAAGAAAAAAAGAAUUGCACAAUUAAUCUCCAGGGAUAAUUUCCCCCUCUUUUUGCAAUGUGCUGUGCUGGAAAGCCAUGCAAGACACAGGCCAACCAAAUGUCUUGUUUUGUCUGACAGGUAAGUAGGUACAGGGCACAUUGUUGAAUGUUUCCUUCUUCCUAAUGGAUGAAGCUUCUCAAAAUCUGAAUUUCAGUUUAAAAUACAAUUGCUUUGGUACUUCACUUUUUUUAUUCAAAGAGAAAGAAUUCAAAUACCAACCAAUCCUGUGUCCUUCUCUGCUUUAAGAAAACAGUGAAACUCAAUUUGCAAAUUUAAAUUUGAAGACCCCCUCAUUUGGACUUCAUAUUUUAAAGUUAGUGGGAACUGACUGAUUUAAUACUUCUUACAAAUAUCUUCUUUAGAUUCAUCUGGACUUGAACAUAUGAUGGGUCCUGAGCUCAUAAUUCAGGGGUCACACUAGGCAUAGAUUCAGUCUUGGUACCAUCAACAAACUCUGGUGAAAAGAGUUACAGGGAAAUCUGGUUACAGGGAAAUCAGACAGGGAAGUUUUAAAUGUUUGAAGUUUUAUCAUGUUUUUAAUAUUCUGUUGGGAAACCCAGCCAGAUGGGUGGGGUAUAAAUAUUAUUUUUAUUAUUAUUAUUAAAGAUUGGAGGAAUGAAAGACAGAGAGAAACCAUAACUGACAGGUGUGUUCAUCCUGAUGUUCUGCUAUAUUUAAUCCUAACCACAUCUAUUCAGAAGUAAAUCCUGUUCAAUUAAAUGGGGCUUACCUUCAGUGUAAGUUCCUAAGUCUGCAAUGGAAGUUGUGAUCUAAAUUGUUUUUGGAAAGCUCAAAUCUGAAACUACAGAAGGGAGGAAAGCAUAAUAGAAUUGCCAUACGCUAACAUCCUAAGUUACAGUGUUGGAAUUACAAUGUCAGCUGGCAACAUGACACAGUUAUUGACACAGAUCUGCAAAACUAUUAACUAGACAAAGAGUGGAAGUGCUCCUCAAAAUGUUCUACAGUUUCAAAUCAUGACCACCUAGGGCAAGGUGACCUGUUUUGCAGCCAACAGUUAUUGUAAUGAAAGAUAUUUCACCCGUGCAAUAUUCUGCUAGCUCCUCGUGGUUGCAAGUUUUUUCAGAGUCAGACACACUCAGUGGGAACUAAUAUGAUGACACAUUAUACUUGUGUACAAUUAGGCUUUGUUGUUGUUUAGUCGUUUAGUUGUGUCCAACUCUUCGUGACCCCAUGGACCAGAGCACACCAGGCACUCCUGUCUUCCACUGCCUCCCGCAGUUUGGUCAAACUCAUGUUGGUAGCUUCAAGAACACUGUCCAACCAUCUCGUCCUCUGUCGUCCCCUUCUCCUUGUGUCCUCCAUCUUUCCCAACAUCAGGGUCUUUUCCAGGGAGUCUUCUCUUCUCAUGAGGUGGCCAAAGUAUUGGAGCCUCAGCUUCAGGAUCUGUCCUUCCAGUGAGCACUCAGGGCUGAUUUCCUUCAGAAUGGAUAGGUUUGAUCUUCUUGCAGUCCAUGGGACUCUCAAGAGUCUCCUCCAGCACCAUAAUUCAAAAGCAUCCAUUCUUCGGCGAUCAGCCUUCUUUAUGGUCCAGUUCUCACUUCCAUACAUCACUACUGGGAAAACCAUAGCUUUAACUAGACGGACCUUUGUUGGCACACUUAGGCUAGCCCCUGCAAAUAAUGGGAGGUCAUCUUCCAGAAGGAUGGUUUUAAACUAGGGAUCUGAAAUCGUUAGGGAGGUCCAGUCUUAUAAAUGUUUCUGCAUGCCUUGCAUAGGUUUAUUAAAACCUCCUAUUUUGUGCAUGUCUUGGUAGCUCAGUCAGUAGAGCAUGAGACUUCAUCUCAGGGUCAUGGGUUUGAGCCCCAUUUGGGUCAAAAGAUUCCUACAUUGCAGGGGGUUGGACCCUUGUGUUCUCUUCCAACUCUACAAUUCUAUUUUUCUGUGAUCAUGUCACCUCUUACACACCAUUUCUGUGAACCCCAAAGUCCUGAAUGCAUUAGCCCUGGUGAUGUGUUUGCACCACACAAACCUCCCCAUCCUCUGCCAUUCUUGACAACCCGUGGCAAUGCUCUGCCACAUUUGCACGCCUCUUCUGAUACAGAUAUAGCAUGUUAAGUAAAUAAAUGCUUCCUGUGAUUAUAAGAACACUCUCUGUGGCUAUAUAUAUAUAUAUAUAUACACACACACACACACAUCAAAAUUCCAAACUUAAAAGGGGCUAAACUUCUCCCGACUUUUAACAGCUGAGAUCUCCUCUUCUCUUUAACAAGAUCUCAUCAGUAAAUUAGCCUCUCCCAUCAAGGACUCAGCAUCUCUGGGGGGAAAGUGUUGCUCUCGUACACUCUCCCCAUUGCUGAGGGGAGCUCCUUUCAAAGAGUUUACAUCAGGUGCGCUCGCUUUUAACACACCUCGCUUUGCUGCAGGUGCCUCUUCAAAGAGUUUGCCUCCUUUUUUUGUCAGAGGAAGAGUUAGCCACCUUCAAAGCACUUCAUUUAACAUUACUGAAGGAAUUUAAAGGCAUCCGGACAUAAAACACCGUCUUGAAACGUGACUUUAAAUUUUCAUGAGCCCAGGUUCUCUCCCCCACUGUAAAUGCUAGAUCUCGUUUUUCAGAUAAGCCUAUCAGGGUGGGGAGCUUCCAAACAGAAUAGUAAUAAUAAUAAUAAAUGUAAGUCUUGGAUCCAAAUUUCUGCCUGUGCCUGUGAGGAAGAUGUGGCCGCUGGAAUCAGGUCCAUUACCACAAAUGGGGCACUGCCCCCACCAAUCCCAACCUUUCCUCACAUGCCUGCCAUCGAUGACCCAUGUAGUCCCUUCCAACACUAAGAUUCUAUGGUACUACAAAUCAAGUGUAAGUAAAUCAAAUGUAAGUAAAGAAAUAAAUUGAUUUCUCCCUGAUUGCUUCUUUGCUCAUUCGUCAUUGCCUUGGGACAACCGCCAAUGGCUAGAAUUGGUACGCAGGCUGAGACCCUGCCUGCCCGCAGACUGCCUCACCAGAGUGGUCCAUGCUCUGGUUAUCUCCCACUUAGACUACUGCAAUGCGCUGUACAUUGGGCUACCUUUGAAGGUGACCUGGAAACUACAACUAAUCCAGAAUGCAGCAGCUAGACUGGUGACUGGGAGUGGCCACCGAGACCACAUAACACCGGUCCUGAAAGACCUACAUUGGCUCCCAGUACGUUUCCAAGCACAAUUCAAAGUGUUGGUGCUGACCUUUAAAGCCCUAAACGGCCUCAGCCCAGUAUACCUGAAAGAGCAUCUCCACCUCCAUCAUUUGCCCGGAUAUUGAGGUCCAGCUCCGAGGGCCUUCUGGCGGUUCCCUCACUGUGAGAAUUAAAGUUACAAGGAACCAGGCAAAGGGCCUUCUCAGUAGUGGCACCCGCCCUGUGGAAUGCCCUCCCACCAGAUGUCAAAGAAAUAAACAACUAUCUGACUUUUAGAAGACAUCUGAAGGCAGCCCUGUUUAGGGAAGCUUUUAAUAUUUGAUGAAUUGUUUUAUUUUAAUAUUUUGCCGAAAGCCACCCAGAGUGGCGGGGGAAACCCAGCCAGAUGGGCGGGGUAUAAACAAUAAAUGAUGAUGAUGAUGUUAACUGCAAGUAGCUAGGAGAAGGAAGAACUCCCAUCCCUUCCAGAGAUGGGAUUCCUCAAGCAUCCUUCAACCUAACUUCAUCCUACAUCACAAGCAUUGUCAAUACAUGGGGAGACACCAAUGGUUGAGUUUGCCUAGAAGGCUGCAGGGCCAUCACAAGGUGACACGUAAUGAAAAUCUAUACUAAUAUAAAUAUCUUAUUUCUUUAAAUUCUUCUAAGCACUGUAGGUAUGCAAGUGUAAUUAAUUUUCUCCACUAUCUCCUUUUCCCAGUGCACAGAUGCUUUUACAGAACUGAUUUCUGUGUGUGUGGUACGUACAUGCUUGUACAUCCUUGCACAAUAUGUUCAACCUUGUAGCCUGCUUUUCCAACAGUGCUCCGGGGAGAACCUGUCACAAUAAUAACACUGAUGCAGUGGCCCCCAUUAGAAGAUAGAACCAAAAAUUAUUUUGGGUGCUAUAUCAUGAUCUUCCUUGCACAGAGUGGGGGGGGAGCACACAUCAGUUUUGAAAGUCAGAGGCACAGGGACAUCAUCAAUAGAUACACAUCAAAGCCAGAAGCAUCAUGGCGAGACACUGGGGGACUUGUCAGGAGUGAAGAUGGACCACUGGUACCAAAUUGUAUUGGGAAACAGCCCUGUUAGAAAAGUUAAACAACAAACUGGAGAUAGUAUGGGGACAAACAAAAGAAGACUCCUUCACCCGGGUGUGGCUUGCCUGUAUUACACACACAGCCCAACAAGACAACAACAGGAACCCACCGACAAUAUACAAAUAAUAUGGUUAACUUGACCCAACAACCCACGUCCUACUGCCUCCCAAACCCAAAGAAAACUCACUGCAGUCAACUGAAGACAACAAACUAGGCCCCCGGCCCCCGGCCCCCCAGCCUCUCUCACUGCCAUUGAAAACUAUCGAAUGAAGAGAAAGAGAAAGAGAAAGAGAAAGAGAAAGAGAAAGAGAAAGAGAAAGAGAAAGAGAACCUACUCAGCUCCUUUCUUCAUGAGGACAUUAAUGUGGGAAUCUUCAGCACUCUUUAGCACUGUAUGGCAUUGAUCCAGUUGUAAAUCCUACACCAGAUUAACGCUUAUCCUUUCACGGAAAAGAGAUUAUACCUAAGAACCAACACGUACAUUUUAACGAAGUGCUCAUGGUACUGAAGCAUUAAGAUAUUAGUCAUAUACAGUAGGGUUUUAUUAUAUAUCUGCACUUCUCAUGUCAUAUUAAAGGCACAGGAUACAGUAGACAGGUAGGACCCACAACAAAAAUGUUGCAGUUUGGAGCGCUUCCCGUUCAGGAUUCCAGUAUUCUUAUUCCAUUUGAGUAAUCUGUUCCAACAUCCUUGGGCACUCGUCACCAGUGUUUGACCCUGCAGCACGAUGAGAUGGAAUAUAAGCAAUCAGAUCCUGAAAGAGAAACCCUUGCCAGACCCUCCAAGUAUCCCUAUUUUCUAGGGAUAGACCCAGAUUUACAGAAGCCACCCCGGUUUCUAAAUUGAUCCUGGAAUGUCCCACUUUUUCUUAGGACUUCCCUCUUUUUGUGGGAGGAUAUGGAGCUAUAAGACCUCCAAGCCAAGGAGAUAGGUAACUAUACAACCUUUAGAAGACAUCUGAAACCAGUCUGUAUAGGGAAGUGGUUUUUUUAAUAUUUAAUGUUUUAUUAUGUUUUUAUUUAUGUUUUAUAUACGUUGGAAGCAACCCAAGUCAGAUGGGUGGGGUAUAAAUAAAAUCACCGUCAUCAUGGUGGAAUAGGACAUCCGGGUGGCGCUGUGGGUUAAACCUAAUGGUCAGGGGUCCCUUUACCUUUACUUAUUUUCAUCAGAAAAAUGUUGGAGAGUAUGUCUUUCCUGUCUGAGAGCCAACACUGUGGCUGAAUCUAUCACCGAUGGUAGACAGUUGUAAUGUCUGGUCUGCAAGACCUAACAUAUAGAAUAAGAGAACAAAGAAGAAUUGACGUUUAAAGAAGAUUGGAAAUAUAUGGGGGGGAAUUGUGUACAUUUGAGAACGUGGGCAGCAUUAAGAUAAAUUCAGCAAUGUAAAAAAGUUUUGAUGGAUGUAAUAAUAGAAUGCUGAGCUUUUCACAUUUAUCUGCUCUAUAAGACUUGUUAGGUCAGUCCAAAUCUUAACCACCACGUCUAGGGUGCGGACUAGUGGGAGGUAAGUGUUAAUACAGACAAAUGGGCCUCCUGCCUCUGCACUAAACUGUAGUGGCAAGAAAUAUUCAUAAAGGAGAUCCAACUCCACAACACUAAUUUCCCCAGCCAGAUCCAGUGAGGUAAAGGUAGUCAGUCCACGACUUCCUCGUCCUUUUUGUUGCCUCUUGACUGCAGGGAGACUAUGCUGAGAGUAUACCUGCAAAUGUGGGAGGUUAGCAUCUUGCAGCCAGGUUUCUUGCAGGCAGAUGAUAUCAAAAUUCUGCAGGAACGUAGUUACUGUAUUUUUCGCUCUAUAAGACGCACCAGACCAUAAGACACACCUAGUUUUUGGAGGAGGAAAACAAGAAAAAAAAUAUCCUGAAUUUCAGAAGCCAGAACAGCAGGAGGAAUCGCUGUGCAGCGAAAGCAGCAAUCCCUCUUGCUGUUCUGGCUUCUGGGAUAGCUGCGCAGCCUGCAUUCACUCCAUAAGAUGCACACACAUUUCCCCUUACAUUUUGGGAGGGAAAAAGUGAGUCUUAUAGAGCAAAAAAUACGGUAAAUCUUUAUCUCCUUUCUGCCAAAUUCCAAGUGAGGAUAUUAAGAACUUUCUGAGGUCUACUACUGAGAGCCAGUGUGGUGUAGUGGUUAAGAGCGGUAGUCUCGUAAUCUGGGGAACCGGGUUCGCAUCUCCGCUCCUCCACAUGCAGCUGCUGGGUGACCUUGGGCUAGUCACACUUCUCUGAAGACUCUCAGCCCCACUCACCUCACAGAGUGUUUGUUGUGGGGGAGGAAGGGAAAGGAGAAUGUUAGCCGCUUUGAGACUCCUUAAAGGGAGUGAAAGACGGGGUAUCAAAUCCAAACUCUUCUACUAAGUCAGAAAUGAGAGCUCUCAGGUGGUCUCUCUGUAGCACCAGCUCCAGUAUGGUUGGCUAUAUCACCGGCAUUUGGUCUUGAGGAUGCAUAGUUUUUUGAUGCUGGGUUCUUAUACUUUAUACUUCUUUAUAUAAAAUAUGCAGGGAUUUCUGUUAUGCAAAAUGAAGCAUGGAAAGGGAAGCAGGGAAGUCACUGAAAUUUUAAGGCUGUUUCAAUGAAUAUUCUAAAAUGUAAAACAGAAAAUUUAAUAAAAAUUAUAGAAAAAAACUAAAGGACAGUUGUAAUGUCUGCCCAACUUACGCCUGACGGAUUCGAGAGCCAAUGGAACCCACUAACCAUGUUUUGCAUCCCCUGGAGAAGUGCUUGACAGCUCCAGGAAGUGCUGCAGUCCUGGGGGAGAGGACACAGAAAAACACUCAGGAGAUCUACGAGGUCCCUGAUGGGCCAUGUUAAGCAUCUCUAUCCCUGAGCCAAAGGAUAAAGUAAAGGUAAAGGGACCCCUGACCAUCGUGGCCGACUCUGGAGUUGCGGCACUCAUCUCGCUUUAUUGGCCGAGGGAGCCGGCGUACAGCUUCCGGGUCAUGUGGCCAGCAUGACUAAGCCGCUCCUGGCGAACCAGAGCAGCACACGGAAAUGCCAUUUACCUUCCCGCCGGAGUGGUACCUAUUUCUCUACUUGCACUUUGACGUGCUUUCAAACUGCCAGGUUGGCAGGAGCAGGGACCGAGCAACAGGAGCUCACCCCGUGGCGGGGAUUCGAACCACCAACCUUCUGAUCGGCAAGUCCUAAGCUCUGUGGUUUAACCCACAGUGCCACAUGCAUAUCAAGGUAUGAUCUGAGUUGCUUACAUUUCUCUCUCACUCUCUCUCUGCAUCUGGAACACACAGCUCCAAUGAGCAUGAUUUACUUUUGUCUCUGGCUCUCUAUCUGUGACCCUGAACGCUGCCAGUUGGGGGCUUAAUAUUGUCAACAAGCUACUGAAAUAUUGCAAAUGGGUCAUUGGGAACAGUUCUUUUUUCCUAACAUAUCAGAUUUCCUCCUGAUAGGGCAAGUCUGGAUUAAAUUGGAGAGAAGGGAUACGGAUCAGCAUUCUGAUGACGUCAUGUGGAUUCUGCACAAACACACGAAACACAAAAAUCUCAUGCAUGAGAAGCACGGACACGACGUAACAGGCUGUAUGUAACAGUAUAACUUCUAUUUUAAAAAAACAAUUCAACAUAUCAUAUCACACUAUGUAAUUCCAUAAACCAACUUAUCAUAUGAGCGGAACAUAUUCUGAGAGAUUAAAGUCCAGCGGACUGAUCAGGAGAUACAGUCUAUUCAGUUCUUAUAUUAGCAAUAACCACGAUGUGGAAUGCUUAUAUCAGUCUUGUAGCGCUCCACGUGUCGAUGCUUUUGAGAAUUCUAGCAUUCCUUGUAAGUAGCACUCAUUGCACAAGAAACCCUCCUGUGGAAGUACCCUGUGUGUUUAAACUCUCUUUUUUUGCACAGGUUAAUUCCCCCAAAACCCCACAAUGCUUACAUUCACUGACCUCAUCUCCUAAUGAUAAAGAAAUUUGUUUUCUUUACUAUUUUGAAACAUAAUAGGCAGUAUUUUAAUUACGAUGUUAAUUACUGCAGCUAGACCUAGCAGAGACGCUGAAUGCAAACAUUGCCUUUGACUGUACAAAUUGCAUUUAUUUUUGAAGGGUGGAAUGAUGUGUACCCAGCCUUAAGACUGUGUUUUAAAGGAGUCCUUAAUUAACGGCAUGCUUGUGGAUGCACGGAGCAUUUUGCUAGUUACUUGGGGAAAGGGGCUUUUCAAUUGGCCCUGUUUCGAAAGCAUCACAGUGCACUCUACAGGGAUCAUUCUCCAAGUACAAGGAGAGAUAAUCCUUCUUUGAUUUCACAGAGAGAAUCACAGGGUAUUAGACUUGCCAGUGCAACAACAGUUCGAAAAGCCUGCUAGACGUUUAGGGGGCAAAUGUAAUCCAAUUGAAGUCAAUAGGAGUUUAGUCAUUGACUUCGGCAGAAUCCAGACAGAACUCUGAAUUUCUUUCCACUUCACUACCAGCCAAGAGCUGUCUUUGAGAUAAUGCUUGUCCAAGUUGGGCUUUUCUUUUUCUUUUUUUAAGGUUUGCCUUUUCAAAAAAUGUCAAUAGCUCCCUUGCCCAUUCACCCUGACAAUUUAUAGUGGAUUUAUUCGACAUAGAAAUUAGGUGGCAAAAGGCAGGCGAUCUAAAGUGUGUGUCGCUUUUUAGUAUUUUAAAAUGUGCUUAAUGUUUGCUACCACAAGAGGCAUUGGCUGGCUAGUGGGAUGAGGUGCGUUUUAAUUAAAAACUCAGGCAUGCCAUGAAUAGCCGUGCUUAUAAUCACUGCUCCUUUUUCUCCUUUUCAUCGGAGUCAGGUGGAUCUGGGCAAAAGCUGAAUCAGUGUCUGGAAUCGGCAAUGAACGGGAGGUGGACCAGUUAUCUGAAGUUCAGCCUAGACAAGACAAAGAUGUUAAUGGUGAAUGGUCUGUCUGAUCUGAGAGAUGAGCUUCCACCUGUUCUGGUUAGGUUGAACACUCCACCCUAAAGCAGCAGAGGCACAUAGAGCCACUCUCUCGACACUGACCUCACUGCAACUAACCUGGAUGGGUACAGGGUGGGGUGGCUGAAGGGUCAGGACCAUGAAUGUGCACUGGCUUGUUUUAAUUAUUUAACUUCUGAGGAAGAGGUACUCUCCCCCCCCACACACACUUUUGGAAGAGUUACCUAUGAAGGUGUAUGUCCAUCCUUUCAGGUAGUAAAGAGGUGCUUUUUAAAAAAAUAAUGAUAUUCCAAAUCAAUUCCAGAAUUGCUCCAAGCAUUUAUUUUAUUUAUUUUAUUUUGGUUUUAAAAAACUGAAGUCUUUUAUUAAAAGUCUUAUUCAAAUUUCUCUUAACAAAAAGGAGAUAUAUAAAAAAGGACCGGAAAACCCCAGAAAGAACAAAAAAACCCGCACGCACACAAAAAGGGGAGGGGAAUCUUCAUUUCUGGGUUUAGCUUUUGACCACAUUGAAAGGCCUGCUUUUGAUCUAGGGCAAUAUCUUAAAGCUCAGGAAAACCAUGUUCUGUUGUGAAGUUUGGGCAGGCUAUCCCAAGGAAGAUGGAAACACAAUUCUUAAUUUAUUUGUGGGGGGGGGUUGGGGGGAGCAAAAAGAAGGUGGUGUUGUCUGCCCUGGGAGGAGAUGUUGAACCCCAAAAUCUCCAGCAAUCCAGCUAUUCCCCCCCCCAAGCAAAGAUCCGGGAUUUGGUAGGGAAGAACCUAUCUCUCCCCACCCAUCUUGUAGGAUUUCUAUCGCCAACCUCAUUCCUAGGCCCCAACGCCAAUGCUCCAAGCAUUGUUGAGCAGUGGGAAUGAGAGAGAGAGAGUGCUGCUCAGCAUGGGCGCUGUGCAAUAGGCAUUCAGCCGACAGUGUCAUAGUCAGACCAGAACAGGCACAUGCUUCCGGGGACUACCUUUGCCUUUUCUAUGGGGAUGCUACAAGAACCUGCAUCCCUGUUUUAUCCAGGGAGGCACACACAAAAUGAUCCUGUGUCUCACAGUCAAAGACAGGAAGACAGCUUUUCAAUACCCGCGCCACAUCUCCGAAAAGCUAUCAUCUGUGUGCACAGCCUGGAUCCAAAGCACACAGCCUAAUGGUAGCCCUCGUGUGGAACAUCAGUGAUCCUAAAUGAAUGGCCAGAAACUCAAUAGUGAUGAGCCAGCUUUGUUCCUCUGAGCAGGGCAGGAAAUGUCCUAAGACCGGUGAAAGAGGCCACAGAACAGAAACAUCUAAACUAGUUCCAUAAGCUUCCUGAAGGGUAAAUGAUGUGUUAAUUGAACCUUCUCCAGCUCAUUGAACUAGACUAUUAUAGGAAAUUGAUCUCUGGCUCAUUGUCCUUUUCUCUUUCAGGAUAGCCCGGUCAAAAGAUUAUUGUCUUUGCUUUCUGCCGUGUUGCUUCCUCUCUUGGGUGUGGGUACGUGUGGCGAGGGAAGUACGCUAAUCCCCAUCUCCCCGAACAGAAGAAGGAAACAGGCAAGAAUAAAAUAGCUACAUGUUCGGAAAAAACACCACAAAGGGCUUUUAAAUGUCUUUUGUAAAAUAUAUUUUCUCAUCGCCAUCAGGGAUGAGGAACGGGCAAAAGAAACAAAAAGCAGGUUAAAGGAGCCACCGGAGCUGUGUGCAGCACAUGUUUGCUACAAUCAUAACUCCAUGCCAUGUCUUCUCUUAAAAGUCUUUGUAGUAGUUUCUUACUAUGGACAAUUUUUAGCUUUCCAUUGGUGCUCUAUGCAGACAGGUUUCAAAAGUAUCUGAAACCCGUCUAAUUCAUGGGUGGGGUGUCAGAGCUGUUGCAAACAGAAUCCCUGAUCAGGAUCGGUGUGGAGUAGAAAUGAAUUUGCUCUCCACCACAAGAAUGAAUGUCAAAGCUUUAAUGGAAAACAGUCUUAAAAUAGUUACAAAUAAAUGUUACAAAAUACAAAAUAACAUAUUGCUCUUAAACAGAAAGCAAUGCGGUUCGGUCUUCUUUUUAGCCUUUAAUCCAGUUCAAUAAAUUUUCCUUUCUCUGGACCCAGAGAGAGAGCCUAUGCAAGCAUCUUGCUUGUUCAGGAGCGCUGAACUGAGCUUCUCCUGACACCGGCUCUGAAGAUUGACUGAGACACUGAGUUCUCAGGUUUCAUCUCAUGCUGAGAGCAAUCUCUGCUUGGAUUUCCAGGGGUGAGUCAUCAAUCAGCCUUAAACACUCAAACAGAAACAUCCUGCCUUUUCUGCCACAUUAGCUAGAAACAAACCUCUCUUGCCUAACACAAAUCUGUCUGCAUAACAUUUUAAAUACAAUGCAUUCAAACAUAGCAUUUUAUACAUAUUAAAUUUAUAUCUUUAACAUGGGGAACCUCAAGCUCGGAGGCAGAAUGUGGUAGGACAUUGAACCAGUUCUGGCUGAGUCUCACAUCUAUUUUGGAAUAUUCAGAGGGACUCAGACAAGUCAGCUACCCAAGGAGAUCAGUAAUAUCACUAAACCACAUCACCCUACUUGCAUUGCAAAGGAAUAUCACUGUAUGGUCUUCUUCCCUGUGUUGUCAAAUGGCUUUGUAUUCUUGUUUGCUUCUUAUCAUUCCUGCCCCUGCUUCCUUCUGACCAAGGUUCUAAAAAAGAAAUGUAUGCAUUUGAAUUACCGUAUUUUUCGCUCCAUAGGACGCACUUUUUCCCCUCCAAAAAUGAAGGGGAAAUGUGUGUGCGUCCUAUGGAGCGAAUGCAGGCUUUCGCUGAAGCCUGGAGAGCGAGAGGGGUCGGUGCGCACCGAUGCCUCUCGCUCUCCAGGCUUCAGGAAGCUAUCCGCAAGCCUUGCAAGCCCGGUGGGAGUUCCCGCGGGCUCACAAGGCUUGCAGGCAGCAGCCUGCAGCCCCGGCGAGUGUCCGCAAGCCUUGCGCGCCCGGCAGGAGGUCCCGCCCAGCGCGCGAGGCUUGGGGCAGCAGCCUGUCGCCCGAAGCACGGGGAGCCCUCCAGAGGGCUCCCGUGCUCGGGCGAGUGUCUGCAAGCCUUGCGCGCCCGGCAGGAGGUCCCGCCCAGCGCGCAAGGCUUGGGGCUGCAGCUUGUCGCCCGAAGCACGGGAGCCCUCCGGAGGGCUCCCGUGCUUCGGGCGAGUGUCUGCAAGCCUUGCGCGCCCGGCAGGAGGUCCCGCCCAGCGCGCAAGGCUUGGGGCUGCAGCUUGUCGCCCGAAGCACGGGAGCCCUCCGGAGGGCUCCCGUGCUCGGGCGAGUGUCUGCAAGCCUUGCGCACCCGGCAGGAGGUCCCGCCCAGCGCGCAAGGCUUGGGGCUGCAGCUUGUCGCCCGAAGCACGGGAGCCCUCCAGAGGGCUCCCGUGCUUCGGGCGAGUGUCUGCAAGCCUUGCGCGCCCGGCAGGAGGUCCCGCCCAGCGCGCAAGGCUUGGGGCUGCAGCUUGUCGCCCGAAGCACGGGAGCCCUCCGGAGGGCUCCCCGUGCUUAGGGCGAGUGUCUGCAAGCCUUGCGCGCCCGGCAGGAGGUCCCGCCCAGCGCGCAAGGCUUGGGGCGGCAGUCUGUCGCCCGAAGCACGGGGAGCCCUCCGGAGGGCUCCCGUGCUUCGGCGAGUGUCUGCAAGCCUCGCGCGCCCGGUGGGAGGUCCCGCCCAGCGCGCAAGGCUUGGGGCGGCAGUCUGUCGCCCGAAGCACGCGAGGCUUGGGGCGGCAGCCGCGGGGGGGGGAUUUUUUUUAUUCAUUUCCCCCCCCCAAAAAAACGAGGUGCGUCCUAUGGACCGGUGCGUCCUAUAGAACGAAAAAUACGGUAAUGCACAUGAAAUACCUUACUUUUCUGUGUAUAAGACUAGGGUUUUUUUUUUUUACUAAAAAAUAAAGCAUGUCAAAGUGCAAGUAGAUAACUAGGUACCGCUCUAGCGGGAAGGUAAACGGCGUUUCCGUGCGCUGCUCUGGUUCGCCAGAAGCAGCCUAGUCAUGCUGGCCACAUGACCUGGAAUCUGUACGCCGGCUCCCUCAGCCAAUAAAGCGAGAUGAGCGCCGCAACCCCAGAGUCGGUCACAACUGGACCUAAUGGUCAGGGGUCCCUUUACCUUUACCUAAUGUUAAAAGGGGGGAUAGUCUUAUACACGGGGGCAAUCUCCCCCCCCCCCAUUUUCUUAAUUUUGAGUCCCCAGAAAUAGGGGGUGUCUUAUAGACGGGGGCAUCUUAUACACAGAAAAAUAUGGUAUCUGUUCUGGCAAUCUGACAAUCUGCUAGAACCAUUUUUUGUUUUUCUUGGGGGUCCCUUAUGCCCCUCCAAAACACAAAGGGAUAUGUUCAGUCUUGAUUUAAUUUUCCAAUUUAUAAGCAUCUGAUCUGUGAUGACAAUCAGGUAAGGGGAAGAAGACAAUUUCCAUAGGAAAUUAGCUGCUUUGUGUCUGCAGCUACCAAAAGCAGAGUGGGGGGAUUUAGACCAACAGAGAAAAAUCUUGCUAUAUCUUCCUCCCCAAGAGGAGUUCGGUGAAACCAUAAGCUAGUGUUGUAAGGGUAAUGAAAUGACAGCUCUAGAUUUCCUUCCUUUCCUUUCCCUCCUUUUGCUCACCCUUCAUUCAAAGGUGAGUGAAGGGACCAUAACGCAGGAGAUGAAGCAUUAAAUUACUUAGAAGACCAUUUGCUCAUAUGUGCAGGAGAAUUAUGCAGAUAUAUCUCAGGUUCGUCAUCCAAUGAGCUGUUUCAAUAGCUGGUAAAGCAUGUCUUUGAGUUGUUGCUUUGAAGGUAUGAAUGGUAAUUUUGCAUUAUACUACAUUAAAAACUGUAGCCUCACUUAACUGAACAGGGAGAAAGAUAAGUCCAAUGUAAGGCUCGUUUGAGCUUGAAAACUCAUCCUUAGUUAAACCAAUGACCCACACAGAGGUCCUUGAACAUCAUCUGUAUACCUGAAGGAGCAUGUCCACCCCCACCAUCCAGCCCAGACACUGAGGUCCGCUCUGAGGGCCUACUGGUGGUUCCCUCACUGAGAGACAUGAAGCUGCAGGGAACCAGCCAAAGGGCCUUCUCGAUAGUGGCACCCUCCCUGUGGAACAACCCCCCUCCUGGUCAGAUGUCAAGGAGAUAAGUAACUAUACAACCUUUAGAAGACACCUGAAGGGAGUCCUGUUCAGGGACGUUUUUAAAGGUUGAUGUUUUCUUGUGUUUUUAAUAUUUUGUUGGGAGCCAGUUAGAAUGGCUGGGACAACUCAAUCAGAUGAGUGGGUUACAAAUAAUAAAAUUGCUAUUAUAAUUGUUGUUAGAUAUGUUCUAGGAGGCCCCCAAUGCUUUGGAGCAGAUUUGGGAAAGGUUCAGUGUGUGCACAGGGGGGAAGGGAGAAGGGAAAGUCCUAAUUCUAUAAACAGACAUCCUUGCACUGACAGGGCUCAUUGGUAGAAUACCACCUAUGGGCAGCUGCCUUGUUCAGAGUCAGACCACUGGUCCAUGUAGCUCAGUAUUGUCUAUAGAACUGGCCGACAGAGUAUUUCAGUCAGGGUUCUCUCCCAGUUCUACUGGAAGAUGCAGGGGUUGAACCUGGGACCUUCCACAUGCAAACAGAUGCUCUGUCAGGCUUCAGGGAAUCAACAUCCUCCCCCCAUUGGCAGUAGAUAAGCAGAACAAAGGAAAGGGAGUUUUCUUACCAGUUAGAAUCUUUAAUGAUCACAGCGAGAGAACAAAGAAUCCAUUUCCUAGGAAUGACGGUGCUCCCAAUAAAGGGUCCCACCCUCUUCCUCCCUAGUCACCCACGUCACUACCGCGUCUUGUGACCUGAUGUGCUUUCUGUGCUGCCACUUUCUCAGCUCUUCUUGACCUUGGGGAGAGCAGAUGAAUACUUUCCAGAGAAGGUGAAUCUGUUAACUCUAUCUCUCCCAGUGUUUCUUCUCCUAGCUGUUCCCCAUCCAGUAUUUCCCAGCUUCUGCCUUCUGAACUACGUCCCUCUGCAAACCAGUGUUCCAAAUCUAUACUGUCCUCCUGCUCCUGGGAAGAUUCAGGAUCCGGAGCUGGGGGAGGGGGAGGCUCCCACUAUUCCUCCUCAGUGCAGCCCUCCUCAGCACGGUCCCUGAAAUGCUCUAGCACUGAGCCACGACCCUUAGCAUGUCACCUGCUUCGUGUCACAUUGGGAUGCCAAAUCCGAAAUUCAGCAACCUGAAUGAGAUUGCUGUGGUCCAAGUACUCAGAGGAAGGAUAGCAGGAAAUCAGAUGUAGCAUGAGGCCUGCAAGGAUGUGCUAUUAUCAUGCAUGCACUAACAUGCACAUGGACUUUCUCAGACUAGGUCCCAUCAUUUGUUAUGUAUUCUGCACCCGUUCCAUCAUCCAAACAAACCAUUUCGCUUGCCUCUCUCAAAACUGCUGAGUAGCAUUCGACAUAUGAAUUUAAGUUUUAUGGAUCGAAGAGAUUCACAGAGGGGUGUGUAUUAAAGCCAAUGACAGGAAUUAAUGUGACAACGCUUUCCUGUAUUUGAUCGGUGGCAUGUCAUUGCUGGUGAGGAAAGCAAAAAUAUCACUGCAUUGUGAAUUACCAUCAGAUAAUAUGAAGCACAGGCUGAAUGACAGACAAUUCUAUUUCAUUCAUACACACACAAACACAGAGACACACACACACACACACACUGGCCUCUUUAGCAAAGCUCUGACCGUCGCACAAUAAAAAAAGCUACUUUUGGGAUGCAAUCGGCUAUGAGUUGCCUUCAGAACAUUCAAGAAAACAAUGUAUCAGAGCACAAAUGCUGGGGGAACGUUCUCCAAGAUCCAGCUGGAAGUGAACCCCAGAGAUCAUAGUGAUCAAGUGGCUGGAGCAUCCCUCCUGGGAGAAAAGGGUAAGAACACAAGAAUCAAGUGAAUGACCUCUCUAGUCCAGCAUCCUGUUCUCACAGUGGCCAACCAGAUGUUCAUAGGAAACGUGCAAGCAAGACCCAGACCCAAGAACCCUCUCCCUUUUUAUAGUUUCCAGCAACUGGUGUUCAGAAGCAUUACUACCUCCAGCUAUGGAGGCAGAGCAGAGCAAUCAUGAAUAGUAACCAUUGAUAGCCUUCUCCUCUAUGAAUUUGUCCAGGAUUUCCAUAAACAUCUAACUGGCUCCCAUGAGAACAGGUUGCUCAACAAGAUAGGCCUUUGAUUUGAUCCAGCAGGGCUCUUUUGGGGUUCUUAUGAAUCCUUUUUGAGAGGUUGUAUCAUUAUUAUGCCUGUUGUAUUUGUCCAUGGAGUUUUCUUGGCAGGGAUACUGGAGUGGCUUGCCGGUUCCUGCUCCAGGUGGAUCACGUUUGGUCAAAACUCUCCACUAUGACCUGUCCAUCUUGGGUGGCCCUGCAAGGCACAGUGCAUAGCUUCAAGCCCCUUUGCCACGGUAAGGCAGUGAUCCAUGAAGGGGAUCCCAGUAGUGGUGUAUGGAAGUGAGAGCUGGACCAUCAAGAACGGUUGAUCACCGAAGAAUUGAUGCUUUUGAAUUAUAGUGCUGGAGGAGACUCUUGAGAGUCCCAUGGACUGCAAGAAAAUCAAACUGAUCUAUUCUGAAGGAAAUCAGCCCUGAGUGCUCAUUGGAAGGACAGAUCGUGAAGCUGAGGCUCCAAUACUUUGGCCACCUCAUGAGAAGAGAAGACUCCCUGGAAAAGACCCUGAUGUUGGGAAAGAUGGAGGGCACAAGGAGAAGGGGACGACAGAGGACGAGAUGGUUGGAUAGUGUCUUCGAAGCUACCAGCAUGAGUUUGACCAAACUGCGGGAGGCAGUGGAAGACAGGAGUGCCUGGUCCAUAGAGUCACAAAGAGUCGGACACGACUAAACGACUAAACAACAACAAUCAUUAUUAUUUAUAUUUUAUUCAGUUUCAAAAAUUUCACAUAUACCCUCCAAUACGUAAUUUUUUCUUUUGUUUUAUUGGCUUCCCACCCUGUUUUCCAUGGUGGGUUUGUUUUUUUUAAUUUCUCCCCUUUGUUGCACCUAAUCUUCUCUCCCUUAUAACAACAAUGCAGUAAUUUUUAAUUCCUUCCGUUGCUCAUAGUUCAAAUCCUGCUCAUGAAUUCACCAUACUAUAACUUAUUUAUUCUUAAAUAGUCUGAAAAAGCCUUAGAUUUUUCUACAAAACAAUCAUCAUUAGGUUUACUUAUCCAUUCUUCUUUGGUGGGAACUUUUUCCUUCCUUCUAUUUUUGUGCACAGAAAAUCCUAGCUGCUGCCGUUACAUUCAUAAACAUCUUACUCCUCUUGGUGAAUCCUUUUUGGGGGUUGUUGUUUCUUCAGGAGCUUUCCCCUGCUGUCCUGAUUCUACAACAAGACUGUAGCUUAGAUGCAAGAAGCAAGACUGUAGCUUAGAUGCAAGAAGCAAGACUGUAGCUUAGAUGCAAGAAACAAGACUGUAGCUUAAAUGCAAGAAGCAAGCAUUGAUUCUGCAGGUGAGAAGUCUGGUCAAUAGAUUAGACAUCAACCCAGAGGCACAACUGGCCGUCUUACUGAGCUGACCAAAGCCGUGGUGCUUUCCUUCAGUGACUGAAUGGACUGUCAUGCCAUUUUAACUUCCUUAUGUCUAGCAGCAAAGAGCUCUUGCUGCAGACUGAAAGAGACAGGUAUGGGGAGAUGGCAGGAAGCUGAGGAUGGAUGUAUACCAGUUGUUCUGAAGCAGCUGCUCUGCUACUCCUGCGUCCUCAACGUUGAAAGGCCGACAUCAAAAUAUUAUGGCUUCCCAAAUGUCAUAAUUACAGUAUCUCAGUGCAAACUUGUCUUCACUCGGCAGCUUUCCCUUUGUCUUCCCCUUAAUUUCUUUAAUGCACUGUAAUUAUUUCUUCAGUGUGGAUCAAUUAUCUCAGAAUAAAGAAACAAAUUACCAUCAUUAUCUCUGAUUUUCUCCCCCUACUUUAUCGUUUCUUUGAUCUGUUUCCCCAUCCCAGUGACAAAAAAAAAAGGAGGGGGGAAGGGAUCCCAUUUAGUAGUUCAUCUCAGUUCUUGCCUUGCUUUCUGGAUAUGCCUCGUUGUGUAAAUUGCCUGUCAGUUGUGGAAUUGUCUGCACCUCUCUGGCAACUCCCUUGUCCUUGCAUUCAUUACCUCCUGCAGAUUGAAACCCGUUUAUUAGAAAUGCAGAUCGUGGGGAAAGAUUGAAAUGUGGUGUGACAUGACGCCCCUUGCGUCGCUUGGCUUCCCCAAGAUGAAGUGCUUCUCAAAAAAUUAAAUACUCAAACUGUCUGCAAGAAUAUCACUGUCUUACAGAAUUAAUAGGUGCUAUUGUUCUGAUACUGGGCAUAAGUUCAAGCGGUUUAAGCCGCCACUGAUCUGAAAUGAACGGCUUCAGUUACAACAACGAUGACUUGGGAUAGGAUGAGAGAAAAACAAUGCUCUUUCGUCUUCUUUGAAAGCUAAUGAGAUGCUUUAAAGUGAAAGAACAGGAACAAUCAGGCAACCUAAACAAAACAAAACAAAGUCAACUCCUCUGCUGUUUGCUUUGAAUUGCUUUUAAUCUGUUGUACUUCAAUGGCACAAGCUGGACAAUGUGUCCAAUACUGAGGAAAAAACCAGUAGCCACUACCUCCCAUCCAAUAAUAGCCAAAUAUCUUCUUCUUCUUCAGCGAUCACUCAUAGCCAAGUAAGAUUGUCUUCCAUGAACACAGGGAUUACCUCAUUGCCUUCAGCUGGGCCAUCACCUACAGCUGCUCCACUACUGGUUGGGUCAGGGGAGACUGAGGCAGCCCCUGGGUCUAGUAACCCACCGACGUCUCCCAAGAUGCAGAGACUAAGGUCUGAGAGAAGGAGAGACCUGAGUACUCACAGGAAGAGUGCUCACCUUCGGGUGAGUCGCCGGGGGAUCAGGUCCGGCCAUUACCCUGAUAAAGAUAAAAGGCUGUUGGACCCCUCCCCGGGUUGUGGGAGCAACAUUGCUGUAUGCCAGAUCCUACACCUGCCCUUGUCUGGUUUCCUGCCUCGUGUCCUGCCUUGGCCCUGUCAGACUGACUCCUAGCAGAACCUUCGGAUUCUGGACCAGUCCUGGACCGCAUUUCACGAGUUACCCCCAGGCCCAGCACACUCCUGCUCCACUGAAGAAAAGACACAGCAGCAAGAGGAUGCUCAAUUAUUUCCCAUUCAUCUGAACUAGGCUUUACAGGGCUUUCAUUUGAGCCUUUCCUCUCCUUUCCCUGAAAUAAUUGAGUCAGGGGUCUUUGUUCUGGGCUUUUAGCUCCUUCUGUGCUUUCUAUCAGCCAAAAUUACUCUUGAAGUCAAUCAAAGCUCCAGCAAUUGGAGAGGCGACCGUGCCUGCGAGUGUGACGGGCGGCAGUGCUCCUUUCUCAAGGCUGCCUGUAUAGGAAGAUCCCUUGUUCAAGAGGGCAUUUCAAAAGACUGUGGAUCAAUAGAUCCUUUGCUAAUUGACCUGCUGGUGGAAUGGGCGAAAGCUGCAGGAAAUACAGGGUGAUGGGAAACCCCCUCAGCAGCCUAGGUAAACAAAUUGAGGCCAUGAUCCAGUUCAAGCCAAGUGCAUUAGGUCUAUUGAUUUCAGUCCGAGACUUAGGCAAGCGCUUACCUCUCUCCCGUGCAAAAUUGGGGAGACUUUAAGACACUUUAAGGGUAAGUAGAUUGCACCCCAUUUGCUAGUGAUGAGCUUUAACCAGAUGCAGAAUUAGGGGACUGUGACCAGUUCAGUUGUGCUGGGCACAGUAGCCUUGGGACACAUCAGAGGGCACUGCAACUACGAUGUAGAAUGUAAGGCGAGAGGUGUAAGGUAAAGUAGAGGGACCCCUGACCAUUAGAUCCUGUCGUGACCGACUCUGGGGUUGCGGUGCUCAUCUCGCUUUAUUGGCUGAGGGAGCUGGCGUACAGUUUCCAGGUCAUGUGGCCAGCAUGACUAAGCCACUUCUGGCAAACCAGAGCAGUGCACGGAAACGCUGUUUACCUUCCCACCGGAGCGGUACCUAUUUAUCUACUUGCACUUUGACGUGCUUUCGAAAUGCUAGGUUGGCAGGAGCAGGGACCGAGCAAUGGGAGCUCACCCCGUCGUGGGGAUUCGAACCGCCGACCUUUCGAUUGGCAAGUCCUAGGCUCUGUGGUUUAACCCACAGUGCCACCCGCGUCCCAAAGGCGAGAGGUGAGUGGUGCUGAAUUUUGAGAUCACACCAGGUGUCGUUGAAAUUUGAGACCCCAAGGUCCACCACUGCUGUAACACACACACCCUUAACAUUUCACAAAUGGAAAUAAGGGCAUGCUUGCAAAACCCUUAUUCCAUCCCAUUCAAAGGAUCGUAGCUGGAGGUUUCCUCCUCCCUUUUACACAUUGUGGAAGACUCUUCCAAGCCUGCAGUGUGUGGGUUCAGUUUACAGGAGCCUAUCAUCUACAGACGAUACAUACGCAAGCUAAAAUUACUUGAGGUGCAUUUAUAAGGCUGAGCUCCACUAUCUCCCAUUAUGGCAAAUUUUAAUAUUUGAUGUCUAACGAUUCCCCACCUGCAGCUUGAAGUGAUUGACAAUGCAAUUGCGUGUGUUAAUGCUGAAAACACAAUUUGUUGCCUUGGGUCAUGCAAUGAUGCAGAGGCCCCAGGAGGCUGACAAUUCCAGAUCCAGCAUUCAGAAUGUUCUGUAUAUGAAAUGCAUUGUUAGCCAGAGAAUAACAUUUAUUUAUAGAAAUGUAUCCCAUCUAAGGUCAUCUGACACUUUCAGAAACAGAAAAGGAUGAGGGGGAAUCCCAAUAAUAUAUUUUGCUUUAGAUGUUGUUCUUUAAAAGCAUAAUAUAAUGAUUUGUUCUCUAUAUGACCCUAAGAGUUAAUCAACAGAUGAUGUCUCAAAAGUUCUGUUUACCAGAUUUGUGCACUGUUUUAAAAACGUUGUCCAUCAUCAGCUAAGUAUAGCCACGCUUAUGCAUUCAAGUCUCAUUCUCCAGGUCUGCAACCUGCAACACUUUCGAAAUUUUAUGGCAACUUGACAUCCAAUAGUCUUAUUAGCAAUGUGCUUUUAAUAGGAAACCUGUUGUCAAGGAAACAAUGGAUGGUAUUCAACUAUGGAGUUGUGCUAGCACAACAACUUUUAGCUGUGCUAUGUAAUUUACCCAGCCUCUCCUCUUCACAUGAGCCCACCACGCACCCCUAAAUCUACCCCAGAGGGUUGUGGGAACUCAUGGGGGAGAUGUAGAGGCUGAGCAAGGGGCACUGAGAGCCAGUGUGGUGUAGUGGUUAAGAGCGGUAGUCUCAUAAUCUGGGGAACCGGGUUCACGUCUCCGCUCCUCCACAUGCAGCUGCUGGGUGACCUUGGGCCAGUCACACUUCUCUGAAGUCUCUCAGCCCUACUCACCUCACAGAGUGUUUGUUGUGGGGGAGGAAGGGAAAGGAGAAUGUUAGCCGCUUUGAGACUCCUUAAAGGGAGUGUAAGGCGGGAUAUCAAAUCCAAACUCUUCUUCUUCUUCUUCAUACAUCGAAGUUACACGCUGCAGCUAAAGGUUGUUAAGUUAGCCCAACUCCUUGAACAAAUACCGCUUAAUGCAUUUUAGGAUUGCAAGUCCCACUUGCAAUACACAUGCCUCAAAGCGCCUAACUGAUUCAACUAUAAAGUGUGUCAUUUAAUAUACAGUCAGGCAUAAUACAACUACUAUAAGCAAAGCAAAACAGGAAAAACAAUUGAGGAGGUUUUUAAAGGUUCCAAAGGAAUGUCCGUAGGACAGGCAACAUUUCUUGGGAAGGUCUGCAUUGCCUUAAGUUGCUGCUGAGUUUCUCCUAAAACACCUCUACAGAAUAUGUGAACCAUGAGAAUUGACAUAUGCUACAGUUUUAACAGUUUUUCAGUAUUUUUCUAUUUCCUAUUGCUGAAUUUUUACACUAUAUUGAGUAUCUUUUCAACCCAUUGUGUGCUGUAUCAUACACUUUUGCAGGAAAGUGGAACAGAAAUUAACUAACAGCACAAUCCCAUUAAUAUAUGUUCAUUUUUUAAAAAAUAAAAAAACCACAUCAAUUUUAUUAAAGGUUUUCAACCUAAUACAGUGGCACCUCGGGUUAAGAACUUAAUUCGUUCUGGAGGUCUGUUCUUAACCCGAAACUGUUCUUAAUCUGAAGCACCACUUUAGCUAAUGGGGCCUCCCGCUGCUGUCACACCACUGCUCCGCGAUUUCUGUUCUCAUCCUGAAGCAAAGUUCUUAACCUGAGGUACUAUUUCUGGGUUAGCGGAGUCUGUAACCUGAAGCGUCUGUAACCUGAAGCGUCUGUAACCCGAGGUACCACUGUAUACCAUAAAAAUCAAACUAAACUAAAGAGAAUAAUAUGAGGGACACGGGUGGCGCUGUGGGUUAAACCACAGAGCCUAGGACUUGCCGAUCAGAAGGUCGGCGGUUCAAAUCCCUGCGACGGGGCGAGCUCCCGUUGUUCGGUCCCUGCUCCUGCCAACCUAGCAGUUCGAAAGCACGUCAAAGUGCAAGUAGAUAAAUAGGUACCGCUCCGGUGGGAAGGUAAACGGUGUUUCCGUGUGCUGCUCUGGUUCGCCAGAAGUGGCUUAGUCAUGCUGGCCACAUGACCCAUAAUCUUUCUGCGGACAAACGCCAGCUCCCUCGGCCAGUAAAGUGAGAUGAGCGCAGCAACCCCAGAGCCAUCCGCGACUGGACCAAAUGGUCAGAGGUCCCUUUACCUUUACCUUUAAAGAGAAUAAUAAAUAUAUAUAUAUAUAUCAAACAGAAAAAAACUGAAGGGAAAAAUUAAGUAAAAUACGUUAACAAUAAUCCUCAUAUGGUCCUCAUAAAACACAAAAUUAUAGGACUUCCGGAGGCGGCGCCAGCGAUUGAUGGCGGAUUCCCUCGAUCGGAGGGAGUAAGCCCCACGAAAAAAGGGUCGGAUCCUGCUUCGGCGCAGCGGGGGACCCCUAAAAAUCACAGGCGGGGGAAGCCUGUGAACCUGGGACCCAGCGGGCACAUUUGGUGUUCCCCCCCCAACCCGGCAAAAAGCCCAGAAACGGGCUUGAAAUCGGAGCGGGGGAGAGCGCGGUGCUGUGGGCUGUCUGCUCGUUCGUGGAGUGAAGCCGCAAGCUGUCAAUCGGAGAGCGCUGCCUUUCUUUCUUGAAAUCCGGACUUGAAAAGCAACGAUCCGUGAGUAGGAUUUACUCAAAUUGGAACUGUACAAAUUAAAUCUGAAAUCAGGCUGAAAACGGAGGAGGUUUAAAAAGGAAGUCAACCUCCUUCUAUUGUAGAUAGACUUAAAGCAUUGAACUUGAAAAUGGAAGCUUUUGGAAAGGACGUUUUUAGAGGAUUUUAAUCCAAUCACUGAACCUGGACUUUUCCCUCUAUAAACUGAGGGAAAAUAGGGGGAGAUCUUUGGAGGUGAUUUCUUUUUAAAGAGUGGAAAAGAAGAGAUUAAACCAUCACUCAACUUCCUGGGAAAGGAUUCUCCAGAUCCUAGGGGAAAAAAAGGUACUGUCUUGUAAUAUAUUUUGACAGCUAGUCCUGCAUUGGUUAAAAAAUCUGGAUAAGAUCUUGUGAAUAUAUAUCUCCUGGUCUUAAGUUGAAAAACUGUGAUAGAUUGAUUCCCUGUUAAACAAACUAGGGGACUUAAAAAGGAAAUUAAAGUAACCAAGAACUUUUAGGACUGUUACAGUGUCCCCCUAGUGGAACCUGGAACUGUUGCAACUUAUUACAACUGUAACUGUAGCAGGCUGGAGGAGUUCUCACACUAUUUGGAAGGAAAUUUCCACUGUGCACUGUACAAUUCUAACUACGUGUCUGACCUUGAGAAUUAUCUAAGGAAUGGCAGAUAAAGAGAAGACGGAGGCUUCGACUACAAGAUCGGGGAGGAAUAUUCGCAUAGAAGAAGGAUUACAAAGGAGAGCUUCGGUCUCAGGCCUUUCUGGAACCUCAACAACAGCCUCAUCGGCACAAUCAAAGGUAAAAAGCUCGACAAGUGAAGAAGCCUUUGCUCAAGUUUUGGCCAAAGUUAAUGAAUCUUUGAGUAAAAUAAGUCAACAAGUAGCAGAGGCUUGUGAGAAGAUUGAUCAAAAUACAGCAAGUAUAAAUAAUUUGGGCCAAAAAGUAAAUACCAACACUGAGACUAUUCAGAAAUUAUUAGAGGAAUCGGCCGCAACUCGCCAGAUUGCUGAAGAGGCCAAAGAAAUUGCUACAACUUCUGCUACGGAUGUCAAGGAGGUUCAAGAGGAACUACCAACAUUGCAUAAACAAUUGGAAGACCAUAAACUAACUCUGUCUAUGAUAGAUUUGAGGGAGAAGCAAGUGAAUCUUCGGGUCAGGUCAGUACCAGAGGUGGAAAAGGACAAUUUAGCUGAAUUUCUCACGCAGGAAUUUUUGGACUUUUGGGAUCCAGAACUGGCAAAAGACAGUUUCAAAAUAGUAAACGCAUUUAGACUUGGGAGAAAAGGAGAAAAGAAAGUGAGAGACUGUCUGAUUACUUUUAGAACAAAAGAAGAGAGGGAUAAGAUUUUGGGCCUACACUUCAGGAAAACAUUGGAAAUUCAUCAGAAAAGGGUGGAAAUAUUCAAAGACAUUCCGAAAUAUAUUCUGGAGCUCAGAUCAAAAUAUAAAGAUCUGGUUAGCCUGCUGAGAAGGAACAACAUCAAUUUUAGGUGGGAACUCCCCCAAGGCCUGUCUUUUACCUACAAGGGAAAGAAGAGGAAAAUAAGAUCGGAAGACGACAAAGAUAAAUUCUACAGAGACCACGGAGAAGACUUACAAAAAGAACUAUCUCCGGAACCAAAAGAUCGCUCGAAAGAAGGGAUACCACCGACGGACGAGGAACAGGCACUAGGUGCAGUAGGAGGAGUAUCAAAACAAUAACAUCAUGGCCCUGCAACUUUUAACUUGGAACUGUCGGGGUUUGAAUCCCCUCAGAAGAGGAAGUCAGUAUUUCAUAUAUUAAAAAAGGAACAAUUAGAUUUAAUUUGUUUACAAGAAACACAUAUAACGAGACUACACAGGAAAUUGUUAAUAAACAAAAGACUUGGUCAGGAAUUUCUUUCGUCGGAUAAAGUUAAUAGAGAGGAGUUGUGAUCUACGCAAAAGAUAAUUUAUCACCAAAAUUUGUUUUCAAGGAUGACCAAGGAAGAUUUGUGGCAAUUGAAAUUCAAACACAGGGAGAAAAAUUUUUGAUCGUAGGAGUUUAUGCACCAAAUGAUGGGAAAUCCGAUUUUUUUAAGAAGUUGCAUGAGACCUUGAUGGACCAUAUGGAUUACAACAUAAUUUUGAUGGGAGAUAUGAAUGGAGUGGUAUCUACCUACAUGGACAAGGCACAAAAACAGGUAGUCACCAAAGAUGGUAGACUACCGAGAACCUUUUUUGACAUGACAGACAACUUGGAUUUAGUGGACAUUUGGAGAAUUAGAAACCCCUUGGUAAAAGAAGGAACUUUCUUUUCUGAAGCCAAAAUGACUUGGACAAGAAUUGACCAAAUUUGGAUAACUAGAGGAAUGGCACCAAAAACAAAAAGGUGGAAAUCUGCCCAAAAAUUUGCUCCGACCAUAAUGCUGUUAAGAUGGAAAUGAGACUAAUGCCAACUGGCUCCUUCAGAUGGAAGAUGAAUGACACCUUAUUCAGAGAUGAAGAAUUUCUUAAGAAGGCCCAAAAAACCUUAAAAGAUUACUUUGAGAUAAAUCUUAGUUCCAACGUGGAGAAAAGAGUAAUCUGGGAUGCAAGUAAAGCUGUGAUGAGAGGGUUCUUAAUACAACAGAAUGCGAUAAAGAAAAGAACUCAAAAUGAGAAGAAGGAUAAAAUUAUGAAAAAAGAUUGCGAGUAAAUCCCAAAUCUCAAGAGACUCUGAGAGAGUUAAAGUUAUAUCAAGUACAAUAUAUGAAAAUAAUGAAUCAGGAAGUAGAAUGGAAAAUUAAACAAAUGAGACAAAAGACUUUUGAAUCGGCUAAUAAAUGUGGUAAACUGUUGGCAUGGCAAAUGAAAAAGAGACAAAAAUUAAAUACGAUUACGAAUUUAGAAGUGGAUGGAAGGAAUAUACAGAACCCUGCAGAAAUUAGAAGUUGUUUCCAGAAGUAUUUUAAAAGACUAUACACUCAAGGGCCUGUGAAAGAAACAGACUUAGAUCAAUUUUUGAAAACAAAUGGAUUACAAAAAUAUCUCAAGAAAAGAGACUAAUUUUGAAUGAUAGAAUAACGGAACAGGAAAUAGAAGGUGCCAUUCAAAAUAUGCAACUGGGUAAAUCUCCAGGCCCAGACGGUUUGACCUCUAGAUACUACAGAUCUUUAAAAGACUGGUUAAUUCAACCAUUGAAAGAGGUCUGCAACGAAAUAAUGGAGGGGAGGAGGGCACCAGAGUCGUGGAAAGAAGCAUAUAUUACACUUGUACCAAAAACAGAGGCUGAAAAGACACAAUUAAAGAACUACCGCCCAAUAUCAUUACUUAAUGUGGAUUACAAAAUUUUUGCAGAUAUUUUGGCGAAGAGAUUUAAAAAGUACUGUUGGAAGAGAUUCAUAAGGACCAAGCGGGCUUUCUCCCAAGAAGACACUUGUCUGAUAAUCUGAGGAAUAUAAUUGAUAUCUUGGAAAAAUUAGAAGUGAACAUAAACACUAAAGCAGUGUUGAUAUUUGUAGAUGCGGAGAAAGCCUUUGACAAUAUUUCUUGGAAUUUUAUGAAGAAGAAUCUUCAGGGUAUGGGGGUAGGCCAAGGUUUUGAGAAUGGUAUAAGUGCAAUUUAUUCAGAACAAAAGGCUAAAUUAAUUGUAAAUAAUGUUGUGACGGAAGAACUUAAAAUUGAAAAAGGGACACGACAAGGUUGCCCAAUUUCCCUCUUCUCUUUAUUUCGGUCCUGGAGGUGUUGCUGAACAUGAUUAGAAGGGACCAGUUGGUGAAAGGCAUACAGGUCGGAACUAAACACUAUAAAUUGAGAGCAUUUGCAGAUGACUUAGUACUGACGUUACAGGAGCCAGAAUCUAGUACAAAAAGGGUUUUAGAACUGAUUCAAGAAUUUGGUCAAGUGGCAGGAUUUAAAUUGAACAAAUCAAAAACCAAGGUUUUAGAGAAAAAUUUAACAUCUUUUGAAAGAGAGAGGUUUCAGAAUGAGACAGGGUUAACAGUGGUUAAGAAAGUCAAAUACUUGGGGAUUAACAUGACAGCAAAAAUGGGAAUUUAUUUAAAGAUAACUAUGAAAAAUGUUGGUCAGAAGUGAAAAAGAUUUAGAAAUUUGGUCAAACCUGAAGCUUUCACUGCUAGGCCGUAUUGCUGCGAUAAAAAUGAAUGUAUUGCCUAGAAUGUUGUUUUUGUUUCAAACUUUGCAGAUCGUGGACAAAAUGGACUGUUUCAAGAGGUGGCAGAAAGACAUUUCUAAAUUUGUCUGGCAGGGCAAGAAACCUAGAAUAAAAUUUAAAAUUUUAACAGAUGCAAAAGAAAGAGGUGGAUUUGCCCUGCCAGACCUUAAACUUUAUUAUGAAUCAGCAGCUUUUUGCUGGUUGAAAGAAUGGCUACUUCUUGAAAACACUGACAUUUUGGAUUUGGAAGGUUUUAAUAAUGUAUUUGGAUGGCAUGCAUAUUUAUGGUAUGAUAAGGUCAAAGCACACAAAGCAUUUAAAAACCACAUUGUCAGGAAAGCGCUAUUUAAUGUUUGGAUAAGAUAUAAGGAUUUGCUAGAAAAUAAAACCCCAAGGUGGCUGUCACCAAUGGAAGCGAAAGCCUUGAAAAGGGUCAAUAUGGAGGUCAAAUGGCCGAAAUAUUGGGAAAUUUUGGAACAAGACGGAGAUAGACUGAAAUUGCAGAGUUUUGAAAAUUAAAAAACAAAGUGCGAGACUGGCUUCAUUAUUAUCAAAUAAUGGAGGCAUUUAAAUUAGACAGGAAAAUUGGCUUCCAGGUGGAAAAAUCGAAAUUAGAAACAGAAUUGUUAGAACCCAAUACUAAGAAUCUGUCAAGAAUGUAUAACUUGCUGCUGAAAUGGAAUACUCAAGAUGAAACGGUAAAAUCGGCUAUGAUUAAAUGGGCACAGGACGUAGGACAUAACAUUAUGUUUGCUGACUGGGAACAGUUAUGGACCACUGGUAUGAAAUUUACGGCAUGUAAUGCCUUAAGAGAGAAUAUUAUGAAAAUGAUAUACAGGUGGUACAUAACCCCAGUCAAGCUUGCGAAAAUUUAUCACUUGCCCGAUAACAAAUGUUGGAAAUGUAAAGAAACUGAAGGUACAUUUUUUCACCUUUGGUGGACGUGCCCAAAGAUUAAGGUUUUCUGGGAAAUGAUAUAUAAUGAAUUAAAAAAGGUAUUUAAGUAUACCUUUCCCAAGAAACCAGAGGCCUUUCUCCUGGGCAUAGUGGGCCAAAUGGUGUUAAAAAAGGAUAGAACUUUCUUUAUGUAUGCAACAACAGCAGCAAGAAUACUCAUCGCAAAGUAUUGGAAGACACAAGAACUUCCCACGCUGGAGGAAUGGCAGAUGAAACUUAUGGACUAUAUGGAAUUGGCGGAAAUGACUGGCAGAAUCCGUGACCAGGG